UCAAGCGUUCCUACAAGGCUAUUAAAAGUCUAACCUUUACAUUGGCCUUAAGGAGAACAGUUGUAAGACACUGGUAGGAACCAUGCAUUGAGUAACAUCAGGAAACAUCAGGAACAUCAGUUGUAAUAUCAUAUGCAGCCAAAUUCCUCUUUCUCUGAGAACCUGAAAGAAACAUCAGGAAACAUGUUAUUCAAAUAAUAGAUAAUAAGCAAAGUGUGGUUAUUAUCUAUGCGUGCACAUGCAAGCUGAGGCAAAACAGCAAAAAGGUUGCACAAACCAUAAAGAUCACAGUUUUUGCUCUCUGGAAGGAGACAAAAGUUAUUUAGGUGCCCCUAAAAGUUUAGCCUGAAUCUGUUCAAGCUUCUUUUCCAACCUUACAAGAGAGAGUAGUUGUCUGUACUUCUGAUUCUUUUCAAAUACAUCAAAUGGGUGUUCCACAUCCUGCAAACUUAAAGAUAUCACUAACCUGUGGCCACAAACUAAUUAAUCUUCAAAUCACAAUUUAAGCAAAACCCACGUAGAAAAAGCGGAAGAUGAUUCCAAAAGGAAACAAGAUCAUACCAUGAACUGGAAUUUGGGGUCAAAUACGCACCAUGCUGCUCCAAAACGGCAGCCUAUACCUUCGCAUCAUCCUCUGUAAGUGGAUCCUAAAAAAAUUCUUUAUGCCAAGAAAAAAAUCCACGAAAGUUAUUGGCCAAUUUUGGAUUAUAAGGACCGGGAGAUAUAUCUCUUGCCAGAAAUAAAGCCAUGCAAGAAUUCGAGGCCAGCCGCAACUGUGAAGGAUACAUCCCCACUAAUUCUGAAACUUUUAGUGGGGAAUAAUUAAGAGUACUGAAAGCUACCACUGCUAUUAUUGCUGCUGCCUCUCCAAUUUCGUGGGCGCAUCCCAAAUUCCCAAUGGCACAUCCCUGAUGGAUUCUGAAUUGUCAGAGGAAAAUCUCUCGCUGCCCAAUUGGCCAACUGACUAGGUACCAUCAGCAUAGGAACUCUUGUACUUGCGAGUGCCUUGAGCAUCACAGGACCCUGGAUUCUCCAUGUCUGCACAGGUUUUGGAAGAGCAAAAAAUUGGUAGAUAUGAGGAUGAUUGUUUAGGGUCAUACGUCUGUCCAGCUUGUUGGCUACAGUUGAUGCAUGGCUUACACUGUAGCCAACUCAAUUCGCUUCCGGUAUCAAUUAUCAUGGAGAAUUGUUUGGCAGGAGAGCCAACAUUUACCUUGGCAGAGUAUUCACCACUGACCGGACCUCCAUAAGUUACAGGCCAUUGCAGGUUAGAGGAGGAGGUGGUGGUGGUGUCAGAGAAGGUGAUGCUUAGCUUGGAAUGCAGAUACUUCAGUCGAGCUAAAUCUCUGGCCAAACGGGUGACGGUGACGGUGCGAUAAUGGUCUGGUGUUUUAACAAUUGAAGGCUGUGGAUAAAGUGGAAAAAUAAAAUGUUCGGAUGGAAGAAUGGCUGCUGUCCUGAGAUGGCAGUGAGUUUGAAACAACAGAUGAAAAGCUAAAUGAGGGAGCCAAAGGAAAAAAAAAAAAGCAAAUGACGGAGAAGGUGCGAAGUUUUGUUUUAGCCAUGAUGAUCACUAUUAGUUGCUGUUGGGUAAAUGAGGGAUGACAGGAAUGAGGCAGAAGAUUGCUAUUUAUUCAGCUUGCAAAGAGCAGAUCAGGGCUGAGAUUUGGACUACGAGUUUCGUCUUGCAUGAUCCCUGUUCUAUAAACUUUAAUGUAGGAUGUUUGAGAAUCCAGAUGAACUUGGCCUUGUUUGCAGCUCAUGUACAAUCCGAGCCGUGAUGAGGAAACUUACAUACCAUUACCAUAUGCACGAGUAUUAUGAUUAUUGAGUUCCUCAUACAAAGGGAAAUUACAUGAUUGAUUGAAGACUCUGUUAAGCAGAAGAUAUCUUUCAUUGUUCUUUUGUUUGUGUCUUUCUUGAUUUAGAACUUUCAGAGCAAGUGAUGCACUCAACCUUUUGCUUAGUUGCUAAUGAAAACAGUUUUCAUUGUCUUAUCAAAUUUAGAUAUCUUUCGCAACCAAUGUCCCUAGUGACUAUCUUUUGCAAUGCCAAUAAAAAAAAAGAGCUUCUCUCUCUAUCUGUGAGCUUCUCUCUCUAGUGUGAGCUUUCUCUCCAAAGUGGGAGCCUUCACGUUUUUAUGACUUACGGUUACGCCUGUUACACCCUUUUACCGCCUACCUUUUGAACUUUUCGUACCGUUCAACCAUCAGCCCUCCAAAAUUCAAAUCUUCAACUGUUCUUCAAAUUUUAAAACCAGAUUCUUCAACCCAGCAACGUUCGAACGCCGUUUAUCAAAACAUUGCUCCAAGAACUUCCAACACUACCUGACAAAUUGUAAGGAAGACUUUUAAUAUGAUCAGUAAACAACAUUGACAGUCAGAUCAGAGGCCUUUUCGCAACAAAGCCUCAAACGGUGCGAAGAUACGCUUUGAAAGAUAAUAAAAGCUCCUUCUCAUGCUGUUUCAACGCUGGACAUCACACAAGAAAGGAUGCAGUCUCUCAGUAGGUGGUAACAUAUUAGUUUAAUUGUCUUACUUUCCUCAAGCCCGUCUCGUCUGAACUCUCUUCUGUGUGUUUCUCUUGUUUUCCCUCUUCUUCUCACUCCUUUGUAGUUUAACACCCUUCUAGUCUCUGUUUUCUCUUGAGUGUAGUUUUUCUGUUCUGCUUCUGCUUGUGUGCUGUCUUAGUUUAACUCUCACUUCAGAAAGGUUAGCUCUUGUGCAUUUUUAAGUGAUUUAAAGGAAUCCCUGCAAGUAUACGGUCUGCAAGUCAUGGAGGAAGAUUUGGCAGAGAUAAUUCAGAGAUUUGCACUAUCCUUGUCUGAAAUGAAGGGGGCUGAAAUUGAUGCGGAGGAUCUGGGCAAUGGAGUGCAGGAAUGUCAAAAGUGCAUAAUUGGUAGAAUCAAGGGGGAAAAAGUAGCAAACUUCACAGGGGUUAAAAAGUUUGUUACUGCAGCAUGGGGCUAUCCAAAGGAUCUGAGGAUAACAGAACUAGGUCCUAACCUGUUUCAGUUCCUUAUUCCAAGAGAGGAUGAAAGGGAGAAAAUCCUGAAUGGUGGGCCUUGGAUACUGGAUAACCAAAUUCUUAUCCUCAGAUCGUGGGAACAAGGGAUUGAAGAGGAUGAGAAUGCCUUUAGGCUAGCCCCCUUGUGGGUACAGGUUUGGAACCUCCCGCUACACUGGAUAGCAAAAGAAGUCGGCAGGAAAAUUGGAAAGGUGUUUGAUCAAGUGAAGGAGGUAAUCAUUCCUCAAGGGGGAGGGAAGGAAGGUAAGCAUUUGAAGCUGUGGGUAACAAUGGACACAACCCAACCUCUUCCUAGAGGAACAGCUGUGAAAGUGGAUGGAGUGUAUAAGUGGAUACAAUUUAAAUACGAGAGGUGCCCUGACUUCUGCUACAAAUGUGGGAGGAUUGGUCACAGUGAUAGGACUUGCAAGACACAUAUAGUUUUGAGCAAAGGACAGAAUGAGAACCAAUAUGGCCCGUGGAUGAGGGCAGGGGGAGGGAAGAUGUCACCCCAAAAGGAAAGCAAUAUGUCACAGAGGAAGGAGAAUGAGAAGCAACACUGGUUGUACAAGGAUGGAGAACUUGUUACCAAGUACCAAAGCCUUUCAUUUGAACAAAGGAAUCUGAUGGGAAGCUGGACGGUAGCCAACAAGGUGACACCAAACGGUGUGGGAAGCAGACACCAGGAUUUAAUUGCUAUACAGGAACAGUAUGUUGGAGACAGUGGAAAAUGCAUGGUAAAGGACCAAGAGGAGGGAGCUGAAACUGUGGGAAGGGGACUGGAGGACAACCGAACCAAAGCCCCUGUGAGUGAUAGCACUAACACGAAGGAACAAGAAGGAAGCACUCCAAUAGCUAGUGAGACAGAAAAGGUAACUUGUGAUGGCAUAGGAAAAGAAGGGGUAGGCCAGGUUCUGAAUCCUGGAGGUGAAAAACAAGGAAACGGAGGAAAUGUUGGUAGAUGCAGAAAUACAGGUGACCCCAGAAAUUAAGAAUUCAAUUGAAAGAGGGAAACAAAAAAGAGGAGUCAAAGGCCAUCUUAGGAAAAGGCAACCAAUCAGGGACAUCACAGGUCAGCAAAAAUGAAACACAAGCAAUGGGGAAAAGGAAGUUCCAGCUUGUGGAUGAGGAAAUGGGAGAAGUGACUGAUCAGAAUCAGGCAGGGAAAAAAACCAGAAUGGAGAUCAAUAACGAGCUCUGUGAGAUGCAGGGGAAGGGAUGGGGAUCAGCCUUACCUGGUCCCCCAAUAAGCCAUGAAGGUUAUGGUGUGGAACUGCCAAGGAGCAGGGAGCCCCUUGACAGUUCCCAGCUGAGGGAGUUCAAUACACUCCUCUCCCCUGAUAUGAUCCUGAUGAGUGAAACUAAAAACAAGCAGGCAGUGAUGUAUCAAAUACAAAAGAAGGUGGGAAUGGAAAACAGUAUGUAGUGGAUGCGGUUAACAAGGCAGGUGGUAUGGCUUUCUUUGGACAAACUCAGUCAGGUGAAGGAGGUGCAACACACGACGGAUUUUACCAUUGAAAUACUGAUUGAAGAUGGUGAAGCAAGACUUAAUUGGUGGCUAGUUAGUAUUUACGCAGCUGUGAAAAACAAGUGAGGAAAAAGCAAUGGGACAUAGUUACUGAAAGGAAAAAGGCCUGGGGGGACAAGGUGAUAAUAAUAGGGGACUUCAAUGACAUAAAAUGUAAAGAGGUAGAAGUGGGGUGGAAGGCGACAGGGAUGAAUGGACUUUUACUGAUUUCGAGAGUUCAUAAGAAGGAACACCCUGGUGGACAUUGGAUACGAAGGACUGCCCUGGACCUGGAGGAAUAGUUGGGAUGAAGAUUUUGAAAUAAAAGAAAGACUCGACAGAGGGUUUUGUACACGGAAUGGCUAGAAGUUUUUGCUAAUGCGAAGUGCACUCAUGUGGAAAAUUGGGCUUCUGAUCACAGUAUUUUGUUACUGGAUACCUGCCCUGCAAAUAGAAGAAGGAAAAGGAGGUUUUAUUUUGAUAAACGGUGGUACAAUAUGAGGAAGUCCAUAAACUGAUCAAUGAUGCUUGGAAUACAACAUGUGAAGGAUCCAAGAUGUACAAAGUGACCAAAAGGAUAACAAGCUGCAGGAUUCAUCUCCUAAAGUGGCACAAGAGGAAGAUUGGUAAUGCAAAAAAAGAAGAUUGCAGAGAUCAAAGAGGAACUAGAAAAGAAAAAGAAGCAACCCUGGAUAACAGGAAAGGGAGAGAUUGCUAAUCUGAAAACACAAUUGACAAAGGCAUAUCAAGAAGAGGAAAUGUUCUGGAGUCAAAAAGCAAGAUUACAGUGGCUGAGGGAAGGGGACAAAAACACCAAAUAUUUCCAUGCAGUGGUGAAUGGGAGGAGAAGGGCAUGCAGAAUGAACCAAAUUCAAAAAGGUGAUGGAAGCUGGACAAAAUCAGAGCAGGAAGUUGGAAAGGAAAUAGCCAAUUACUAUAGGCAACUCUUCACUGCCUCAAUAGCGGCAACAAGGGAGGACAGCAUUCGUGAGAUACUUGAGGGGAUUCCAACCACAAUCACUGAACAAAUGAAUAAGACCUUAAUCAAAUUUGUGGAUGAGAAGGAUUAAGGCUGCUGUGUUUUCCAUGAAUCCCAGUAAAGCCCCUGGAAUUGAUGGCAUGACCCCUCUUUUCUUCCAAACUUACUGGGAUAUCAUCAGAAAAGAUGUAGUAGAAGCAGUGCAAGCUUUUUUUCACUCAAGUCACAUGCUAAAGUCCAUUAACCACACUCUUGUAUCCUUAAUUCCCAAAAUCCCUGCACCUGCUAGCUUAAUGCACUUUAGACCCAUAAGCUUAUGCUCUGUUCUUUGCAAAAUCAUUUCCAAAAUCUUAGUGAAUAGACUCAAGCCUGUGCUUGAUAAGUGCAUUAGCAAAAAUCAGUCUGCUUUUGUUGCGGGUAGACAAAUCUUGGAUAAUGUCAUUUUAGCGCAUGAAUUUCUUCAUCAUCUGAAAAACAAAAGAAACGGGCAAAUGGGAUGUAUGGCUGUUAAACUCGAUAUGUCUAAAGCCUAUGACAGAGUGGAUUGGGAUUACUUGAAGUCAAUGAUGGAAAAAAUGGGCUUUUGUGACAUCUGGAUUAAGUGGCUUAUGAACUGUAUAACUAAUGUGUCCUAUUCUUUCAGUGUAAAUGGAGAAGCGAGGGAACUAGUUAAGCCUGGGAGAGGAUUAAGACAAGGCGAUCCUCUCUCACCAUAUUUAUUCCUGAUCUGCUCAGAAGGCUUCUCCAGCCUACUCAGAGAAGCAGAAAGUAGCAAGAGGAUUGAAGGAAUGAGGAUCAGCAGGAAUGGUCCUGCACUAACCCAUCUCUUUUUGUAGAUGACUCGUUGAUACUGAGCAAAGCUGAUCAAAAGAAGCAAAAGAGUUGAAGGUAAUCCUAAGCAAAUAUGAGGCAGCUUCAGGUCAACUAAUCAACUUGGAGAAAUCCUCAGUUUUCUUCAGCAAGAACACUGAACAGAAGGUGAAGGAUGCAAUAGGGGAAGAACUGCGAGGAAUUCGAGCUGUACAUCAAGGAAAGUAUCUGGGGCUGCCAAUGAUAAUUACACGAUCAAAAGAGCAGAUUUUUGGGUUUAUAAGGGACAACAUAAGGAAAAAGAUGGAGCAUUGGAAGACCAGGCUACUCAGUCCAGCAGGCAAGGAAACUCUUUUGAAGGCAAUAACCAUGGCUAUGCCAACGUACGCCAUGUCUUGCUACAAGCUAUCCAUAAGCUAUGCAAGGAAAUCAACUCAUUGAUGGCUAAAUGUUGGUGGGGACAAAAGGAGAACAAAGAUAAAUAGCACUGGAUUGCCUGGGAAAGAUGCAUCAGAACAAAAGAGGAUGGAGGUAUGGGUUUCAAAGAUAUGCAGCAGUUCAACAAAGCCUUACUUGCAAAACAAAUUUGGAGGAUAAUGACCCAACCCAACCUUCUGGUAAGUAAGUUUUUGAAAAGUAGGUACUACAAAGAUGGCUCACUGCUUGAGUGCAAGACCCCCAAAAACGCAUCUUGGAUUUGGCAAAGUCUUAUGAGUGCCAGAGAUGUAAUUAAAGUUGGGUGCAAAAAAAGGAUAGGAAACGGAAGAGGACCAACAUUUGGAAGGACAACUGGAUCAACAACAACAGUGGAGGUAGGAUCCAAACUCAGGAACCAGAGGGAUGUAGUUUGCAAAAGGUAUCACAACUCAUUGUUCAGCAUAGAUGGAAUAGAGUGCUAAUAUUCAAAGUGUUUAAGAGGGAAGAUGCAGAACACAUCCUCAAUAUCCCAAUAAGCAUAGCAGAAAGAGGAGACUGUUUGGUAUGGAAACACUGCAACACAGGUCAAUACACUGUAGCAUCUGGCUACAAAUAUCUGCAGCAAGAGGAGAGGAAACGAAGGGAAGAAAGGAACAAAGGAACAGGAUGCAGCUAUCAACAAACAGAUAGGAAACUAUGGAAGAUUCUUUGGAAGUUACCUAUCAAAUAUAAGUUGAAAAUUUUUGUGUGGAAGUGCAUCAAUAAUGGAAUACCAACAAAGGCCCAUAUCUUCCAUAGAACACGAAGAGGGGAACCAAUAUGCUGCGGAUGUAGAGAAAAACAGGAAUCAAUUGAGCACUUACUGCUGCAAUGCAAGAUAGCAAAAGGAAUAUGGAAAUUUACAUUAGUUAACUGGGACGGAUUGGAAGACCAAACAGGCUGUUUCAAACAAUGGUGGACCUCCAUGAUUUUGCAUGCAAAAACCAGGCAAGAAGGUGAUGAUCACAUAGCACUAACUGUCAAUGUGUUGUGGCAAAUUUGGAAAUCGAGAAACGCCAGAAAUUUCAACUCAGCACAACAACAUCCUCUUAAAGUGAGUGAAAAAGCUGCUCAGGAAUGGAAAGAGUACCAGGAAGCAUUUCAGCAACGAACAAGGAAAAGUACAACAGAUACAAGAAGGCAAGAAGAGAUCAAUCGAAGAGAGCAAACUUGCUCAGAAGUGGUAACGCUAACGCUGGCAACUCAACACCAGAUUGGAAACAAUUCCUUUGGCAUAGGCAUCACAGCUGCGAAUGGUGCAAGCCAAGGAAUUGCAGCCUGGUCGCUAAAGGAAAGACAAGCAGGGAACAAAGCUCAGGACAAUGCAGAGGCUGUGAGGCUUUGUAUGAUCAAAGCAGCAACAAAAGGAUGGCGAGACAUCAAGAUACGAAUUGAGGAUAGAAAGCUGCUUGACCAAAUACGAGCUGGAAAAGCCAGAAGCUUGGAGUUAGCCACUAUAAUUGAGGACAUUCAGAAAAUGACUUCAUGGUUUCGAAUGUGCUUUUUUGAUAGGUUAAAUGAGGACAUUGAUAGUAUGUGCUAUAGUAUGAGCAAAAUUGCUCUUCUAAACUUUUGUGAUAUGGAGUGGAAUUACUCCAUCCCAGAGUGCUAAAUGCACUUUUAUUAAAAUAGGAGCCCUUACUCCAACACUGUAUAGCUUGGUUGUGAUAUAAAAUUCCUAACGUUUCGGAAAAAAAAAAAAGACUAUCUUUUGCAGACAAUAUUCAAGAAAACUACUUUAGAGAGAACGUUUUCAGGCGGAUACCACACAACCGUCUGUUAGAUGAGAAAGUUACAGAAAAAAUAGAUCGUUUAAUCAGCAUUCUGAUACUCUCAUGGUUUAACCAUUUACCAAAUCAUUGGAAUAUUAACCAUGUAAGUGGCCAUCCUUUUUAGGAUAUCCUUAACUUCCAUACAAUUUCAACCUUUUAGGACACUGGUUAGGCAAGAUCGAAGUCUGCUAUAUAAAUUGUAAACACAAUUGUUGAUGUUUUGAUGUGUUUCAUGCAUUGCUAGUUGCCUAGGAUGAGCAUAUGGAUUAUUCUGCCCAUAACAUGAUUGAAGGAUGGGUACCAGUGGUGGAGCCACGUGUAAGCAAGUGGGGUCAAAAAUAAGAUUUUAGGCCUACGAAAUUUAGAAAAUUUUAAAAUUGCAUCUUAUUUGACCCCACUAAAUUUUAAUAAAUUCUCUUUUCUAUUAUGGCCAAGUCACAUUUUAUCGGUUAUUGACUCGAAAAGAAUCUGCAUGGAAGACCCCAAAUAUGAAGCAGUUGGGAUGCUCUGUGUUAUUAUCCAGUGCCAAAUUUAGUGCUGAUCCUACUUAUCACAAAGAAUAGAAUAAAAUUAAAUAAAUAGCACAUAACAAGUCAAAUAAACAGGACACUUAAUAUAGUGGUACUGAACAUCCCAUGUGAAUGUGAAGAGAGUAAAUUUUUAUUUGUUUUGUUAGGAUGAAAAGCAAACAAGAAGCAAACAAAUAAAACAAAGAAAUCAAGUUGAAAACCUAAAAGUAACUAAAGGCCAAAAGCACCAAAACCCAUUUUUUUAGCAUAUAAGAAAUGGCUUAAACUAAAAAAGAAAAAACAAAACACUAUAUUUUAGAAUUAAAAGUGACCACUGAUAGGCAUGUUAGCCUACCACACUAAAUCUAAAUCCUGUUCAUUACUAAUUGAGCCCAUUGGAUUUCAUUUCUUUAAAUUAGGAAAAAGGAAAAAAAUAAAGAAAUUGUCCAACGGCAUUCCAAUAACACAUGUAAUAAGAGUAAUCUGCCAAGUGUAAAAAAUUAAAACAUUGAACCAAAGUCUAAAAAUUGAAUAAGAAUAAAGGGAUUAAUAAAUGUGAAAGUGAGUAUUUGCAUGAUAUAUUUUGUGCCUCGGGCCAACUGUUAGAAAAGCCUAUAAGAAAUUUAAGCUGAAUUUAUUUUCAAAUUUAUAUGACAAAUUUUGUGUACCCAUUGCCAGUUUAACACCAAUGCAUCAGAAAAAGCCAAUAUUGAUUUCCGAAUAUCAUACUUAAACGUCUUAGACUGCUUGAAAUAUACAUUGACUCUCCAUCAACACACGAUACUUUGAAAUGAUUAUACCAUCAACACUCAAACAAGAGUACAUGACUAUACAUAUAAGCAACAAUACUUGGAAACGAGCAUUUAACACAGUUAUAAUCACCAUACACACACACACACACACAUGUAUUUAUAUGCGGUCAAAAUCAUUUUGUAUUUAAUCAGUGAACAGUGUUCUAAUUUUGCAGUCUAAAGAUUAAAUAUCACUAAAAAUGCAAAGGCACAUAAGAUACUAGUAAAGCACAAUCUAGCACAUAAACUAGUAAGUAAACCGAUAAGUUAUUUCACAAAUGUUUCAAAGUAAGGAUAGAACAUUUAAUAUUUGGAUUUUUUUUUUAUAUAUGUCAUGAAUUCAACAGUAACAAUGUAUACACUAUCUGCAUAUGUAAGAUUUACUCUAUUUGGAUUAGUUUUUUCUAUACUAAUAGUGUAUACACUAUCAACGUUGGAUAAAUAAUAAUUAUAUACUAACAGUAUAUAAUUGUCUUUCCUACACUAAGAGUGUAUACACUAUCAGUAUUUGAUGAAUAAUAAUUAUGCAAAUUUUGAAUUUAAAAUUCAAGUUUUUACAUAUGACAUGGAUCUAACAAUGAUAGUGUAUAUGCUAUCAGUAUAUAUAAGAUUUACUCUUAAUAUUUUGACAUACAAAUAAGAAAAUGAACUACUGUCAAAUGCAAGUCAAAGAUAGAACCUUUAAUAUUUUGUCAUUUCUUGAGUAGGUUUUAAUCAAAUUUGACAGCCCAUAUUAUGAGGUACAAUAACAUAAAAGAAAGUUCCCUUCUAAGAUUCUACAUUGAUCAAAAUCGUAGGAAAAAAAAACAAGAAGCUCAAUUACUUGGUCAAACCAAAAGCUAUUAAUCACGUUCAACAUUAAACAUAUCAAACACAAUCAAGUAGAAGAAAGAUUCACCUUGAAGUCAAGCAAGACUUGAAUUACAGAACUCCAUAAACCAAUAUGAAAGAAUCCUUUUCAACCCACUUCAAUUUGAGAGAACCCUUUGAAAUUAAAUUUUGGAUUGAGGGAUCUUGAGGAAUUGAUAAUUAGAGUAAGAGCACAAAGCGGCAAUUUUGGAGUGCUCGAUGGUAUCAGAAGAAAAGAAACUCCUAACCAAUAAUUGCCACAAUUAGUGGGAGGGAAAUUGAAUCCUCAGACUAAACAAAAAAUAGCAUUUUUUACCCAAAAAAAAAGAAAGAAAAAUCUGGCCUCAUUCAAAAGCUAGCCUUACCAAAGCCAACUCCGAUGAAGAACAGAAGUGAAUUGGAAUGAAACUCAUCAUGAAGAUGCUCAAUGACUCAAGACGGUCGGAUAAAUCAUGAAAAUAUAGAUAACAUUCAUAGAUAAAGAAGUCAAUAGUUGAGUUAUCUACUAGUUGUUGUUUCAAACAUGCCCCAGAAUUUCUGGUAUUGUUAUAGCUUGAAAUGAAAUUGAUUGAUAACCGAAUAUAUUGAUAAUUUAAUUAGAUGUUAAUGAUGUACUAGGAAUAGACAACAACAAGGCUUUUAGUAUCAUUUCAUGGAAUCUUCAUUAUUAUGGUUCUGAGUUCAUUAAAAUAUUUUUCUCCUUGCUGUCAAUGCAGAUCCAGCCUUGACUUUGGUAUUAAUGUUGGAGGGAAUUUUAUCUUGAAAAGCGAAUAGCUAGCAGGUAAUUAAUUUUCUCAAUAAUGUUAGAGACAAAUUAUGGUAGACUGGUAGUACAAAGCAUGUUGAAAUGGUGCUCCAAGUUUAUGUUGCUGUAUAUCUGCUUCAGAAGUUUAACAGUCUCGUAAAUGGACAAAACAAUUUCUUGAACUGCAGCAAAAUAGGCAGAAAAACUUUCUUUUGAAGAAAACGAUCCUGAAGAUCCAGAACAUCAGCCAUGAACCCUGCAUCAUUGGUGCUCCAGCACCUUUGAAUAACCAAUUAGAGGUUGCAUGAAAACUAUCAAACUUUGCAUGAAUUUUGAGGGAAAAACAGAAAGAGACACUGAUUACAUUGAGUAUUCAAAUGCCAUGAAGUGGCACUUCAAGGAAAGCCAAGUGCUAAUAUAUAGACAAAGAUUAAGCAUUUGCCCCUAUUUCGAUGCAUUUGCCGGCGAAGUGAUUUAUCUAUUUAUUGUCCUUCAUUUUCUUCCCUUGUUGCUUGCGAAGCCAAACUGACCGAACUAGGAGACGAUCUUGCACUGAAGGAUGGGAGUUUUGUAAGGCUAUUGGAACCAAAUUGCUUGUCAAAUACACCAGCCUCAUAUUUACAUACACCGUUCAUGAACGAUUGCACUGAUAAUAAUUUUCACGAGAACCAGGGGUCCUGUAUUGUUGUUGCUAGGAUACUAAGAUCGUAUUGUGAUCCUGAAACAUUUUCAGACACUACAUUUUAUUACUUUGCUUCAGGCCACUCCCUCAAAUUGUAGUUUGGUGUUGGAGCCAAUUUGUUGUGCUUAUUCACUACAAAUUUUCCAAGAUAAAUGGCUCGAGACUCGGGUUAGGGAUUGUAUACAGUUCUCCACCAACUUUGGCUUCUGUGCUAUGGGGAGCCACCAGCAUUGCUACAAUGUGAGAAGAAGAGCGUGAAAAUGGAGGCCCAUUUUGGUGUGUUUUGAUUUUUUGCUUACAAUUAAACUAUUGUUGGAAGACAACUAAGUGAUGUGUGAAGACAAAGCUUUGUGCUUAAAGCCAUUUUAUAGGGAUAAACUUUGAGAAGCCAUUGAUCAGUAUCUAUUUACAUUCUUUAAUUUGGUGACUAAAUGGUUUCUCUUUCAUUUAUUAGUCUUAAAGUUCUUAUAGAUAAAAUGAAUGUCUUAGUACGUUUGGCUAUUUAAUUUGACAUUAUAUGGUCUAUCUUUUAUUUAUUCUCCUCAAAUAUAAUGUAGAUGCAAAAAGGAAUGGCAAAAUAGAUGCUCAAACCAACCUGUCUUCUACGGAAUUCUUUCUUUUAGGUUCUUUUGAAACGUUGAAAGAUGAUAAGGACUUAAUCAAGAAGUAGUUGUCCUCCAUCGUGUUCUUAUUUGAUGUUUACACAUUAUUAUAUAAAUAUAUAGCAAAAGUUUGUAGCUUUACAAACUUCAGAAAAUGAUUAAAAGUAGUGCAUAAGUUAGCCUUAUUUUGAAACUCUUAUUCUAAUUAUACUUGAGUCUGGAACAGACGAAAGAAAUCAGCUUUGAGCAGUCUUUUUCUUCAUACUAUUUACCUGAACAAAUAUUAUACACAAGAAUAUAAACAGACAUCAUUCUGACCAUGCAUGUGAAAGCAGCAUCUUUUUGUUUCGUGAAAAAGGAAAUAAUUAGCAUUGAAAAUCAAGAGAAUUAUCAACUACAUCACAUCCAGGAUAACAAUGAAAUGUGUUAGGAAAUUGACUUAAUUUCUUUUAGUCGAGAUCCUUAUUUGGUGUGGGAAGUAAUAAGUUUCCUAAUUGGAUUUAGUUAUUUGAAAUAGUAAUCAACGAAAUUUAUAUUUGGUUUAGGAUUUAGAUGUUAUUUCCUAUUCUGUAUAAGUCCAGGAAUUAGUAUUGGGUUCCAAUUGUUAUUUGAUUUUUUAGCCAAGUAAUGUUCUCUGUAAAUAGGUAAAUUGGUAUACUACAAAGACACACAAGUAAGGAGUAAGAGAGUUUUUAGUGGGUGAGAGGGUUCUACAAGAGUUGAGACUUGGGAAUCAAGUUGUAAUCUUGUGGUGUUUUUCUCUCAUAGUAAGAAUAAGUUUUUUUCUCCGUGGACGUAGGUUUUGGUGAUUAAGUCGAACCACGUUAAUUCUUCUGCGUUGCUCAUCGUUCGUGCUAGAUAUUUUUUUCUAUUAAAUUGUUGGUCUUUUCUUUUUCAAAUUGUUGGCCUGAUAUUCUAACAAGUGGUAUUAGAGUUUCGUUGGGGUUUUGGUUAAUUAUUUGAAAUUGAGUGGGUGGUGGUAUAUCAUGGGAUUUGGAACUAUACAGUUUCUAAUUCAACCGUUUAAUGGAACUACAAAUUUCACUCUUUGGCAAAGAAGAGUGAAAUAUGUUUUAGUUCAACAAGGUUUGGCAAAAAUGUUGAAUGAAAAGAACAAAAAACCAGAGAGCAUGAAGGAUGAUGAGUUUGAGAAGUUGGACGCAAGGUAUACGAGCACGAUUCGGCUCUAUGUGGCGGACAACAUCAUAAAUAAUGUGAUGGAUGAGGAAGAUUCUAUAGCAGACCUCUGGAAAAAAUUGAAAAAGCUUUAUCUGACUAAAAGCUUAUCCAAUAAGUUGCAUCUGAAGCGACAACUUUAUACACUAAAGAUGGAGGAGGGUGGCAGUCUCAUGGAUCACAUGAAUACGUUCAAUGAAAUUUUAGAUCAACUCCAAAAGGUUGGCGUAGAUAUUGAGGAAGAAGAUAAGGCCCUUUUACUUCUUACCUCAGUCUCUGAUUCUUACGAAAGUGUCGUGACGACCCUGUUGUAUGGAAAGGACACUUUAGAGUUCGAGAAUGUGCAGUCUUCUUUGUUGGACCAUGAAAAAUAAAGGAAGGCAAACCAGGAUGUGACACAAGAAGCUGCGUUCAUUGCUCGAGAUGAGAAUAAAAGAGGAAAACAACUUGGCAGUGAAUCUAAGGCAGAUGGUUCAAAAGUCAAGAGAAAGGGUGGAGUCCAGUGCUUUAGUUGUCAUGAGUUUGGCCAUAUCAAAAGAUAUUUGCCCUCAUCAAAAGAAAAAUGAUGAGAAUGACUAUGAUGGUGUUGCUGGAUAUGUAUCGGGUGGAGAUAUUUUCACAAUCUCCAAAGGUAAUAAUACUUCUUCUUGUGAUGGUUGGAUUUGAGAUUCUGGAUGUGUUUCACAUGUUUUCUCUAAGUUAGACUAUUUUGAUACUCUCCAAAGAAAGAAGGCAGGUUUUGUAUUCUUUGGGUGAUGGAUCUAUUUGUCAAGUCAAAGGUGUUGGAGUGGUGAAAAUCAAAAUGUUGAAUGGAGAGAUUCGUUCUUUAAGUGGUGUGACUUAUGUCCCAAAGUCACGAAGGAAUCUAAUUUCUUUGAGCCAAUUAGACUCCGAGGAUUACUAUUUUUUUGCUGCAGAUAAAGUCUUGAAAAUCACACAUGGUGAGACGAUCUUAUUGAUGGGAAAGAAGUAUGGUAAUUUGUACCAUUUGAAUACCUCAAUGGAUUGGGAGCGGAAGGGGAUCCGGAAAUGCUCUCAAAUUACAAAUGGUGGUGAGAAAAAAAUCCUGCUAUGGGAGAGGGUGAAUUAAGGCCCCUCUCGUGAGUCAACUAGAUGUUGGACUCGGUUAACUACACAUGUUCAUCUGUCGAUUGAAUUAAUUGAAUACAAGACCGUCUUGAUUCGGGUGUGUAGUUAGGCACCAAGGUAUUUGGUGAAAAAAGGCAAAUGGAGUUUUUUGAAUGGUUUACUGUGUUUGUUAAAAGAAAUAUUCGCCAAAGAUGGAGAUUUAUUAGGAAAUUGGUUUAAUUUCUUUUAGUCAAGAUCCCUAUUUGAUGUGGGAAGUAACUAGUUUGCUAAUUGGAUUUAGUUAUUUGAAAUAGUAGUCAACGAAACUUCUAUUUGGUUUAGAAUUUAGAUGUUAUUACCUAUUCUGUAUAAGUCUAGGAAUUAGUAUUGGGUUCCAAUUGUUAUUUGAUUUUUUGGCCAAGUAAUAUUCUCUAUAAAUAGGUGGAUUGAUAUACUACAAAGACACAUAAGAAAGGAUUGAGAGAGUUCUUAGUGGGUGGGAGGGUUUUACAAGAGUUGAGACUUGGGAAUUAAAUUGUAACCUUGUGGUGUUUUUUUCUCAUAGUAAGAACAAGUUUUUUCCUCUGUGAACGUAGGCUUGGUGAUUAAGUCGAAUCACGUUAAUUCUUGUGCGUUGUUCAUCGUUCGUGCUAGAUAUUGUUUUCUAUUAAAUUAUUGAUUUUUUCAUUUUCAAAUUUUUGGCCUGAUACUCUAAUAAAAUGAAAGCUGAAGCAAAGGAAACCAGAUUCGAAAUACAACACAUUUCCUGUCAUCUUUGUCAAGGUAAUGAUUUGUAUGAAUUUGCCAUGACUCAUCACUCGAUUCCAAGAAAAUCAUUUCCGCAAAGAGGAUCACAAAUCCAGCCCAGUGCCAACACAAAUAAUCCUGACUUUAGGUUGUUAAUGCAUCCUUAUCACUUUUAAAAUAACUAUCCAAAUUGGGAGUUGACAAAUAAUCGUUGUUUUAGUAAGACUUCAUGGUUUCUUGGGCAUUGUCUUUAAACAUGCUAUGCCUAUUAGGAUUCAUGUUUCAUGCACUAUCAGUGAUCGUGCAAGAAUUUUGUUACAUAAAUAGGUUUACAUGCACGUCAUAUAAUCUCAAUUUCAAUUUAAAAUUUAUUUUUUUCACGUGUAACAUGCAUCUACAAUACUAGUGCAAAAAAAUUCCCUAGACUAACAAUACAUAAAAGCUUAAUCCUUCAAAUUUUAGGUUAUCCUUCUUUCUAACGCAUGUUAGUUCUGAAUUCCCAUUACUAGAAAUUGUUAGCUAUUUAAAUAUUUAAUAUGCUAAGCUUUAAUACCUUAAACCAGAAAUUAAGACUUUUUGUUCUAAAUUUGGCAGUUUAAUAAUGACAAACCCCUCAAAGAUUAUGCAAUUCUUACUAUGCCCCCCUUAUUUUUCAAGAGGAUCAGUUUGCCCCCAAAACUUUUCAAUAUGUUGCACUGUAAUACAAUCGACUGAGAAUUGCAGACUAAAAUUGAUUUCACCAGGUGAUGUGCCCAUUGUGCAAGGAAAAAAGAAGUCUGGUAUCUAUUAAUUCAACAAUCUGUGGAUUUGGAAAAAAAUCUAGACUUGAAUGCCUUUUUAUUCACAAAUCAAUGUUUGCAUUUAUAAAAUGAAUGCAAUAGUAUCCAUGUCAUUCUUUUACAUGUGAAGUCACAUGAUAAUUCACAAAUCAUUGCUUUCAUUGAGGGAAAAUAUGUCAUUUUUGUGCAUUUUAUGCAUCUAAAAUGAUGAUCUUUGGUCCAUAGGAAUUUCUUGAAUUGUUCAUAUCAUACUAAGAAUAACUUUUUAAAAAAAUUAAUGGACAUAAUACUGUAGUUGGACAAUGAGGCUAAGAAAGUGAGAAUCAUAUACUUUUUGAUGAUUCAUUUUCGUAAUUAACCUAAAUUUGUGUUCCCUACAAGUAUUGCUUUUUUCUUUGUUUAUAUUAGUUUUCCACAAAGUUAUUUAGACUAGUUACCAUGUCGUAUGUAUAAAUAUUCCUUUUCUAUUCUAGAUUUCUAAGAUUUCAAUUUUAAGUGAUUAAUUUACAUUAGUUUCCAUUCAGAAUGUUUAAAGUACGUACUCAUUGCAAAUAAAAACAAUUAAAAACACAGAAACAAGCCAAUAGAGAGUUAGGAAUAGUUGUAGCUAAUUUUUCAUUCUUAUUACUCUUUCACGAGUCAACUAUCUAACAAAGGUUAACACUUUUUCCUUCAACCCCUUUUCUCCUUCACCUAUCACUUUUCCUCGUAAAACCAAAGAAGACAAAGAUCAAGUUUUCUGCAACGUACUUAUUUAUCCUUUCACACUUUUCCUUCACUUCCCUAACCCAUGUCCAUGGUAUAUAUGGAGAGGAAGCGGAGCCAAAUAGGGAGCUGGAAUGAUUCCGAAGGAUACAAGGUCUGUGUGACCUUCGUAAGCAUUUUCAUCUAUACAUGCGCUGUACUGCUCAAACUUAUUACCAUUCUUCGCUGUAAGAUGGAUCCUAUAAAAGUGUUCCAUUGUGAGAGAGUAUCAUAUCUCUACUUUGCCCACUGUUUCAAAUACUAACUUGGUCUUGGCCUGUUUGUUAUACAAAUCGACUGCCAAUUUUCCAAGUUCAAUCCGAUGGGGGUUGUUUGGCUCUAGAGGUUCCCAAGGACCAUCGAAAACUCUAUUUCCGAAUAUUCUAUCUUUUGCGUUAAUGCUGGCCACCAGUGCUAGUGCUAGCAUUGCGAGGACUAGAGGGUUAUAAUAAUGAAGAGGCAUUUUGGUGUGUUUGUGGAUCUGUGCUUAUGAGAAAAAAGAAAAUGUCUGUGGAAAAAGAACUUUUUGUUCCUGGGGUAAUUUAUAGAGGUGAAAUCGAAGAGGCUGCUCUGCAUUUCUUUUUGUACAUUCUCUCAUUGGUAAUUAAAUGGUUUAUCUUUCAUUUAAUAGCCUUGAAUAUCAGACACUUUAAAUUGAUGCCUUGAUGUGUUUAUCUUAUCUUAUGCAUUGAUUCCACUGCACCCUUAAAUAUUUCAAUGUCCUAAAAAUUUAGUGUGUGCGUGUGUGUCUGUUUUAGUGUACAGCUGUAUGCACAUGUGAAUCUAUAGUGUUAAAUUAUUGUUCAUCUACUCAUGUCUUAAGCGAAGUUUUAAUGUUUGAAAAAGAUCUGUUAUUUAAAAGUCCAUUGUUUACUUCAUAACAAUCUUCUGCUAUUAGGCUUCCAGGCCACGUCUUCCCAAUGAAACGUGAUGCCUGUUCUUGACAGGUUUUGGUGCAGCCUUGAUAGGGGUAACCCUUGGAGGAAUCGGCGGGAGAUGACAAACCUCAGAGCCCAAUCCUAUUUAUUGCACAACCCAUUCUUUUCUAGUUCAAACGAAUCCAUGUUCUGAUUUGUCACAAAAUUAAAAUCAUUGAAAUCCUGCUGUCAAUGUAAAAAUUGUAUCAAUGAAGGAUUUGUAAGAAGUCCUAUAAGUGAUCUAUGAUCUGAAAGUAUGUUCUGAUCCAUAGUGAUUAUUGGGACCGAAACCACCCAAAUUAUCUUUGACCAAAAAAUUAAAAAUAUUCUGGAUACACAUCAGUGCUAAUCACAUCUUUCUUUCAUUUUUUUUUGGGGGUAGGGGAGAGGGGGUUGGGGAUGGGGAUGGGUAAGGCGGUAUUUUUGGGAUUUUAUGUUUCUUGAUUGAAAAAAAAAAGAGAAGAAGCCCGUAUGUGAUAUUUUUUCUGUGGAUUGCCUUGCACUCUGUUAUCACCUAUUUCUCAAAGCAGAAUAGACAUCAAUUGUGGCAAUAAUAUCAAUUCUGACUUGAGCAUCUGCCUUGAUAUUGGCCCAACUGGUAUGACUAUUUGUUUGAUCCUGAUAAUGGUGAUGAACCCAUGCGAAUUGCAGGAGAUAAGGGGGAGGAGAGAAGAGAUUUGAGCUUAGGACGUUUAACCCGUGAAAUCUCAAUUUUAAUCACUAUGUCUAGACCUCUUCGGUCAUUAGUUGAUAGUUAGCCAUGCCACAUUAAAUACAUAAUUUUAAUUAAUUAAUUAAUCAGUUUCCUUCUCGUUUUCUUUUUACGUUCAUAAAUCCCAAAAUAAUUUUCUAUCUUAUCAUGAACAUUAAUAUUACAGAAAAAAAAGAAUCCAACCAUAUAAAAUCAACUAAAAUAAAAAGGGCAAAAGAAAAUUUAUAAAAGUACAGUUUUCUACUUUCUAGGGAGUAAAGAGUUUACAUAAUUAUUUCAGGUCCUUUUCCUGUCUUCGGUUAAAGUUAAUAUUCUCCUGUUAAGUUAAGCUUAAUCACUGCUGGAGAUAUUCCUCUUUGAUCGCUCGUAGAUUUUUACAGCAAAACACAAGUGAGAAUCUUGUCUAUAGCUCCAUAAUUCCACCACAUCACCUUUCUGAAGAUGAUUGUCUUUGACAAGCUGCAUCCACCCAUGGUUCAAAACCAGCCUAUCAUUCACACUUGGCCACUUCUUGAAAUCCAUGUCAUAAUAGCGUUGUAUACUAUCCACUACCUUUACCUUAACAGUCUCAAACUUCUCCAGUAGCAUAACUCUCUCUGAUUGAGUCAAAACUUCAUUGAUUUCCUCGAAAUUGGAAGGAAAAACCUGCAUUGAGUAGAAGUAACAUCGGAAGCUUCCAAUCUUUUCUCAGUUAUCAAAUGUGCUCCAUGAGGAAGCUCUAGCUCACGUCGAGGAGGCAUUAUUGCUCGGCUACUCGAAGUAGUUUCUGUUUCUUGUUCUUGAUUCACCAGAUGAUCAGCCGGGACAUCCUCAAGGACGUAGACUAUGUCAAUGAUAAGUGACUAAUUUACAUUUUUAUUGUAUGAUAUUUUAUAUUAUUUUUAGUUACUUUGGUUAUAUUACUAGAAGAAAAUGAAUCAUUUUUGCUAUAAUUGGUGAAAAAUGCUUUUCAGUAAUUAAAUGAGGUUUUUAUCACUUUUUACUUGGAUUUUGUGCAUUUUAACAGUUUUGAUACAAUUUUGUAUUUUGGCUAUAACUUGAGUUACAAUGAUCGGAUUGAGAUGAUUCUUAAACCAAUUUGAAGAUAAGAGAUAGAUCUACAACUUUGGUAAAGACAUCUGAAUCUAGUUUGAAGGUUUUCCAGGUCAAAAAGCCGAAUUACAAGUAGCUAAUUUCUUUUGGUCGAAACUGAAACAUGGCAGUGAGUAGUCAAGGGUAUUUCGGUCAUUUCUCAGCCUACACAGAUCCAAAUGAGGUGAUGCAUAAUGAGGUGAUGCAUUGGAAAGUUAACUCAAUGGGCUACAAGUUUUAUGUUUUGGUCAAGACCUAAAUUAGUUUUUAUCAUCAAGAAAAGUUCAGUUGAAAUUGACGCAAAAUCGGAGCAGAGCUAGAAAUUGAACAAAAGUGCACCAAAAUGUCACUGUAGCAAUUUGGCAGGAACUUGGCCGGAUUUCUGGUCGGAUUGUGGUCAGAGAAGGCUGCUCUUUACGUGGAAAACUUAUUUUCACCUCCAACAAAUCAUAUGCAAUGCCAGACAUGUGAGAACUACUUUGUAGUUGUAAAAGGGUGGUGUAGGCCUCAUUUUCUUAACUUCUUUCAUCUUUAAAUAGCCAAAAACUUGCAAGAUUGAAAGAGUGGCAUACGGGAGAAGCUUGGAAGUGCAGAAAUGUAGUUCUUACAUCUUCUGAGUGUUAGAUUAGUUAGUGUAGAGUAGUAGUUUAUCCUUCUUGUUUAUUAGCUAGGCACAGAUGAAGAAGGAGAUAAAGAAGACAAGGAAAGAACUCAUGUGACAAGGGUUACUUUUCCUUUCCAACUCUUUAUUUUUUGUACUUGAUUCGAAAUUUAGUUAAUAUACAGGUUAUGGAUUUAUAUGUUAUUAUGUGUUUCUAAAGUUUAUACCUUGGGUUUGGUUGAACUUUCUAUGAUUGUUAGUAUUUAUUAUUUGGCUAUUUGACUGCUAUGAUUUGAGCAAGUUAUUUAGCACUUUAACUCUUUAAAAUCAUGAUUAAUCUGAUACCAUUAAUUGUGAUUAUCUAAGGUGUUGUUUCUGCAAUGAAAAUUGAGAUUUAACACUGGUUUAAGAAGUGCUAAACAUAGGGAGUACACUCACGAGAGUAGAGGUGCACCUAUGUGGUUUUAGUGAUUAAUUUCAUGUAAUUUCAUUGAAGAAAUGAACUUGUAACUAAUUUCAUAACCAUGAGAAUGGAUUAGUUAUAAAUAUAGUUGAUUCAUUACGAAAAUAGGUUUCAUAUGCAUAAAGAAAUUACACCAUAACUAGCCUAGAUAGUAGUAUUCAAUGAUUCAAAUAUAGCACUUGCAUAAGUAGUUAGGGAUACCAUAACCUAAAGAGCUUUCAUUUGUUAUUUUGCAUAAGUUCAGUAGGUUUAAUUUCUUAAUAUUCAUUAAUAGUCUAAAUAAUAGAGAAGCUUUAGUAACACCGGUAAUUGUUCAAUCUUUCUCGGUGAUCGACCCGAUAUAUAUCCUAAACUAUUAGUUGACCUGUAUACUUACAAUGAAACGGGUGUAUUUCGAAUUUUUUAACUUGUAUGUAUAGCAAAACCCGGUCAGUCAACUUCUAUCAUCUUUCCAACAGCUUAAUCGUCUUUUUCAUCUUAUUCUCCAUCUUGCUAUUGCAAUUGGUGGUGUUACGGAUCAAGAAUUAAUAAAUAUUAAUGAUGGAAAUCUGCUAAACGAAUGGGAAGAAGAGAAGGAUUAGUGUUGGUAUGAGAAGAAUGAAGUAACUAUGAUCAGGGCUCUUUUUGUAGGAGAGCUUCUCCUAAUCAUGUACAGAAUCAAGUUUCCAGAAUGAUAACCUUCUCAAAAGGGGUUUUCUUGCUGCAAUAGGAAACAGUUCAAGAGAUAUUCUCCUUCUUCUUGUGGGAUUCGGAUGCUUGUUUCCUUAAGAGGUGAACUUUUGAAAGUUGAUACUUCCCACACUGGAGUUCCUGGAUAUAAGAUGGACCCGAUGCUUGUAUGUAACAAAUGAAAAAUAGAAUUAAUUUUUCUAUACAUUAACGAUGUAUAUACUUUCACAAUUUGGUACAUGACACAUAAUCCAAAUUUAAAUUCGAAACCCAAAUUUUGCAAAUGUAUGGUGCAUCUAGUCGUAAUAGUAUAUACACUGUCAGUAUAUAUAUAAGAUUUACUCUAAAAUAUAUGCAGUAAAAGUUAUAUUGAAGGUAGAAAAUGAAUGGAAUAUUUUAAGAAAAAAAAAGAAAUCAGAAUGAAAAUUUAAAAAAAUAUAUAAAAAAUCUAAAGAGAUCGAGAUACUAGAAGGUCAGGAUAACAAACCAACUACUCUCGGAUUGAGAAGGCGCUGGGACGUGACAACAAUUUCAAGCUUUUAUCCAAUAUGUGGUAUGAAUGAACGCUAUUCUAAAAUUUGGAUUUUUUUUACCCAGUUGAUUUAUGAAGUUAACAGUAUCUAAUUUUUUACAUUUAUGUAAUAAAAGUUAUAAAAGUUGAUUUUGAUGAAUUAUAAAUUCCACUUCAACCUCCCCAGUCCCACUUCUUAAAUCUCAUCCAUCCCUUGCCAAAAAAAAUGUAAAGAAAAAAAACGAAUUAUCAAUCGUUAAAGACAAUGUAUACUGCUUCAAAGCGAUUUUAUGGGACCAUUUCUACUCUUUUCCCAUCCAGGCCAGUCCAAAAAUUACAUAUAUUUGUCAGUCAUAUCAGGCUUACAUUUCAAAAGGUGAAGAUUGGAUCGGAGAUUAUUACCAAAAGUUGGACUCGUUUUUUGAAGCACAAUAAACAAAGGGUUUAACAGAAUAAACAACGGGAAAAUAUUAUUUGCACUUCGUUCUCCCACCAUUUGUUUAAUCAUAUAGUUUAAUACAUAAAAAUUAUAUGAUUAAAAUAAUAGUGAGAGUGUGAUUAACGAAAAUAUGAGUGCAAAUAACAUUUCCUUGAACAACGUGCAAAAGAAAAAUUCUGUUGUUUCCAAUAGUUAUUUCAUGAAGUAGAGCUCAAUAGAAUGGGCUGUCACCAAGGACAUUUAGUGGUGAAAAAGUAGGGUAAAUUACAAAAAAAAACUUCCGGCGGUUAAGCAAACCUAAAGAAAAGUCUCUUAUAGUUUUAAAAUAUACACUCUUGUAUCUCGUGGUUUGAACUAAUUUGAAAAGGCGAUGAAAAUUAUCUGAAUUAAUGGGUUUGAGAUACACAUGCCUUUUUGUGACUAUUUGUAUUGGAAAAAAAAAACUAAUUUUCAUCUGAUAUACCUAUUCUACCCUUUUAGAAUAAAAUGCAAAAACAUCCCUAUAGUUAAGCAAACCUACAGAAAACUUCCCUAUUGUUUCAAUACAUAUAUUUUGAUACCUUGUGGUUUGAACUAAUAAAAUAGUGAUAGUUACACCUUUAUUUGUCCAUCCUAAAAUAUUUAAAACAUUUUUCUUCUCAACUUUGCCCUCAAUAUUUUUGAAAUUCACUUUCUUAUCUAUAUUGUCCUCUCUAAAAUAUUUAACAUGUCUUUCUUAUUUACAUUGGCUUCCCUUAACAAAUUAGGAAUUCUUAAUUCUUAAGUUUUACAAAAGUGUUAGAUCAAAAGGUUAGUUAUUGAUAUAAAUCCAAAAAUAAACUCUUUUGGCGUUGCUAAACUACACUAUAUUAUAGCAUUGGAUGUCAAAGUCUAAUUGACAUAACAGUAAAAAUAUUUUUAACAUAAGCACUUUUUUUUAUUGUAAAUUUACAAUGAUUAUAUUUGAUAUAAUGUCGAAAAUUGACCUAUCCUAACCCUAAGGUCUUGGCUCCGCCACUGAAGAAGAGAGAGCACGAAGGAAAGGGAGUAGGGUAGUGAUGGAAGGGAGGAUGAUAGCAAAAAGUGAAGAGUGAUGGUGACAAUUGGUAACCAUAAGAAUUUUUUCGCAAGUUGACUUAAUCAUAAUGGGUUUUUCGGUAGGUUUGAUUAACCAGUGUAGUUGUUAGAAGAAUGUUUUGCUUAUAUAUAUAUAUAUAUAUAUAUAUAUAUGUAUGUAUGUAUGUAUGUAUGUAUUAAGGUAAUUGUGUCAUUUCAUCAGCUCUCUCGUAACUUUUGACGGUUUCUGUCACUAUUUCAUAUUAGUUGAAACUAUAAGGACCCGGAAUGUAUGAUUUAAAAUCAUGAGGGACUUUUCUGUAUUUUAGCUUAAUCACAAGGACUUUUCUGUAUUUUAUCCUAAAAAGUAUGAUGAAAAUGGGUUGCAGCUCCUCAGGCCUUAGCCCCCAGUCUUGUUGUUCCCAAAACCAAUCACCCACGAAGCCCGUUUCAUUUGGGUUCAGAGAUCUCUCCUCUGUUUCCUAAAACUUGGAUAAGUUAACCAUAAAACACAAUGAUCAAAACAUUAAAAAAUAUUAUUUAAUUAUACUCCUGCAAUAUUUUUUAUUUUUAUCUUUCUCUGGUUUUCCUCUCCUUAAUAUACCAAGUCUUUAGACAAGAAUUUCAUUAACUUCCCUUUAGUAAAAGGAAAUAAAACACAAAAUGAGGAGAUAAGCAAUGGCUAAAAUCAUCUUAAAUUGGGGUUAAUAAAAAUUACCCUUUUGGCCAUUUUUUAAUCUUUACUUCAACUACAGUAAAAGUUCUCUGGAGUUUAUGAUGUUGUUCCAAUAUUUAUCAGGCCAAUCAAUAUUAUGGGUAAAUUAUGGUAACAUGUAAAAGUAUUUUGAUUGUACAUGUCUUCCAAGUAUUUUAUCCAAUUUGAUUUUGAAAGAUGCAGGAGAUUUGAACACAUUAUUUGGUUAAUUUUAAAAAGUAAUUCUCUUAUAUAUUUAGUUAUUCUUGAACGGUUCUUCCCACAUUUUCUUCGAUGAUCAAAUAUUGAUAAUAUUUUCCCCUUCCAUCAUAACUUUUAGGGCAAAUUGCACUUUAUUCCCCUGUAUUUUGGGUUAAAGUGUCAAAAUGACGGAAUUUACAAUCCAUAAUGGGGUCAAUUAAAAUGUCUAAAAUACCCCUAUGUAAAGUUAAAAAUUAUUUAUUAAUCACCCGGGGGUGGUUAUGUAUAUAUAUUAAAAAUCAUAAGAGGGUUAUAUGGUAAAGUACUAAACCAUAAGAGAAUUAUCUGAUAAAAUUUAAAAUCAUACGAGAUUAAAGUGUCAUGCAUAUUAUAUUUAUAUAUUUUGGUCAUUUCAGUCAUUUUUGUUUUUAAAUAAAGAUAAUUCCGACAUUAUUAUAGAUUUCGUUACGGGUGAUCAUUUCCGUUACUUUGAUAUUUUAGUCCAAACUAUAAGGGGAUUAUAUAUAACUUUUAAAAUUAUAAGGGGAUUAUAUGAAAAUUAGUUAUACCACAGGGGAUAAAGUGUAAUUUGCCCUAACUUUUAUUAUUUAACCAAACAGCACUGUAGAUUAAGCAUUUGCAUACAAAAAUGGUUUAUCGUUUCAUUUUCCUUCUUCUCCUUGUUUAAUGUGUGGGCUGUGGAGCCAAAUCGAAGCAUAGUUCUUGGAAGGAUUUGAAUUCCGUAGCCUUCUCCCGAGCCAUUUGGUGUCUGUUUGUGCCUUUGUGGACGAGGACAGAACUCGGGCUACCUCACCCCCACAAAAGUUUUAAAAUUCAUCUUUUCUUCCUCUAAAAUUUUGAAGGUUUUUAAAAAUUUCUUUGUAUGUUUAAUUAUUUGUUCCCUCAAAAAUUUUCAUAAACUUUUAAGAUAACUUUUUUAUGCACUGCCAACGUAUAAUUUUUUUAUACUAGCAAGUUUAAAUCAUACUAUGUAAUAUGAAUUCAAAUUUUAAAUUCAAAUCAUGCACAUGUGACAUAAAUUCAAAACUGUUAUUAUAAAAAAAUCACUAUGUUGUCAGUAUAUAAAAAUUAAUCCAAACUUUCACAUAAACUCCAAAGUUUAUAUGUAUAUGUAUCUCAUACCUCCAAGUUAACUUUUCUGAUUUCGUCCCUGUUUAUGGAUCUGUGCUUAAUAACUCUAGUAGAGAAAGGGUGCGAUUUAUGGAGAGAUAGAUACCGAAAAUUGUGCAUAGAGUGACUUAUAAGGGUGAAAAUGAAGUAACAUUAUGUGUAUGUUUACGUUCUCUGCCCCUCCCCACUUCUUAUGUCUCACCCCUUCUUUACUGAAAAAAAAUUUAAAAAAAAGCCUAAAGAAUCACCUAAUCAAUGGUAAAAUCAUAAAGGAAGACUGUCAAAAUAUCAUAAAGAAGCUGCAACAGGAAGAUAUGGAGGACAGCACAUGUGCGACGGUAUUGGAGGAUAUAGGAAGACUGAAGAAGCACUUUAAGUACUGCACUUUUUCUUUUAUUAGAAGAGCAGGUAAUGUAGCGGGUCACAAGUUAGCAAAAUUUGCUUUAAGCUGUUGCUUUGAUGUAAUCUGGAAAGACGACUUCCCCCCCUGGCUAGUCAAUGCUGCAAGGGACGAUUUAACAGAGCAGUUGCUCUGAGUGUAUCUAUGGAUAAGCUAAUGAAAUGCUGUUAUCCUUGGAAAAAAAAAUAACAAUGUACACUUGCUUUCAAACUAGUUAUCUAUAUCAAACGAUACUGAAACCCAUGAAAUUUUGCAAUAGUACUACCACACUGAGCUUUAGAUUUCCAAUCAUUGCGUCCAAAAGCAAAAGAUUAAGAGCAAAUUAUUCCUAUAGUCACUAAAUUUUUUGAAUAAUCAAGUUUUGACCACUCAGCUAUUAAUAGUAUAUUUGUACUCACUAAACUAUCAAACGUGUAAAUUUUAGACCGUUUCAUCUAAUUUCAACAGUAAUUCUGCUAUAUCUAAUUAUUAAUAGUAUGUUUCGUAAAUCAUGCAGACUCUUAAAUCUAACAAAGUUAAUGAUGAAAUUAAACGGAAUGACCUAAAAUUUAUAAUUUUGAUAAUUCAAUAGAUAAAAACAUACUAUUAAUAAUUGCAUAACCAAAUCUUCAUUGUUCAAAAAGUUCAGUGGUUACCUGGUAAUUUGCUUAAAGAUUAAAAGGAAAAACACUGCAGAAACUUAUGCAGAAAAUAAUAAUAAUAAUUCUAGGUUGGAUUGGAAGUAAGUAGCAUCUACUAAUAUUCUUCGCUGACCGUAUGUCUUGACGCUUGAACGUGGAUUUCCAAAACUGCAGGAGGAAAAUGUACUGGCUCAGUGACGGUGGUUUAGGACAUAGUGCAAUUUCUCCCAUUCAAAUAUACUCCAUGGAAAAACUACCAAAACUUAAGGAGAAUUGAGUGACGAAUUGACAUGUCAUGUCUUACCACAAUAAUAUAUUAUUGUAAACAGUGUGAGUAAAUAUUUGGUUUGAGUUGAUUUUGUAAUUUUUUUCAAUAUCCGAUUCAGUUAAAUAAUUUGUAAAAAUUUUGUUUGUGGCCCGGGAUUUGGUCUGAACUAGUCAUCCUGAUUUUUUUUUUUUUAAAAAAAGUCAUGCACACUCUCAUUGUUGAAAUAACCCCAGCAUAUUUGUGAGUUCAUAUAAAAAUUCUCCAUCAAACUACACCAGCAACCACAAUUGCAGGACAAUUCCUACCGCCCAAAGAUUAUUUGGACAAUAACCACUAACAUUGGUCCAAUCAAUUGGUGUUGCAUCAAUAGUAUGACUUUUUCAAGUCUUUUGCUUUCAAGGAUGAGUGUGAAAGGAACGUUUAUUUACCACCAAAUUUGACUCAGCGGCCAUCAAGGAGGUGAGGUCUUAAGUCUCUCCUUGAAUUGUAGGUGGAGGUUAAAAUCUCACCUACAACAAAAACUAUAGGUUAUAUAAUCGAUAUCUGUCUCCCAAAAAAAAAAAUAGUGAAAGGAACGUUUAUUAAUCAAUUAAUGUUGCAUCAAUAGUAUGACUUUUGUCUUGCGCUUUCAAGUCUCUUGACAUUUGUUCAGCAUGUGUCCACUAUAGAGUUUCGGUUUUCUUUUCCCUUUAAUUGCUUUUACACUCAUCCUCCAAUUUUCAUGAACUUAAUUGUCUCCCCAUUAAUGAUUGAACCUAAUUAUAAGCCUAGAAAAACUUUAAUGAUUUCUUAAGAGAAUAAGUAUGCCUAAUAAGUGAACACUACCUAAGACUUUAUUUGCCUUUCGACAAUGUUUAGCAAAAUUCCACAGUGAAAUAUUGUAUAGGAUUUUUCUUAGGGGUGUCCAAUGAGCAUUUAUUAACAUACCUAACUAUGUUAAUGCAUGUAUACCAUCACACUUGAUGCAUCCCCUACAUUUAAAUACUUUCUUACAAUAAGUACAUUUUUUUUCAAAAAAUUAACACUUGAAACUUCUUUUAAUUGGGUACCCGGAUGGUAUAAUAGUGCUCAUCUACCAGAAAUAAGAGAAAUUACCUUAUCAUGAAUGAAGAAGGUGAAGUAACGACCACAAAAAAAAGGAGGAGGUGGUGGAGGUGGUUAAGGAGUGAAAAUGAUUGAUCAUAUUGGUAAGUACUGUUUAAUAAAGGUGUUUAGCACGUAAUUUGAAAUGUACCAAAUUAGUGUAAACACUAUAGUCAUACAAAGGGACCACGUGGAUAGCAAUUCUUUUGACAUAAAUAAGAAGAACAUUAAGGCAAAACAAUUGCACACUAUUAAGCGAGUUAAUUUUCAGGGAUUUGGCUCAUCUUCAAUAAUGGAUUCUCUCUUCAUUUUUCACAAUACACGUCUGGAUACAUAAUAUGUACUUUCAUUUAUUAGGAAGGGAUGUGAUCAUUUUAAAUGUGACUAAUUCUAACCCUUGUUAAUAAAUAAAAACAUGUCAUGCAUUUAAAUGUGAAAAUGUAGAGAGAAUUCUCAAGAGGGAAGCCAUGUCAAACUUUGAGUAUUUGACCUUUUAAUUGUCUAUACAUAUAUAAUAUAUAUAUAUAUAUAUAUAUAUAUAUAUAUAUAUAUAUAUAUUAUAUAAUGGCAAAUACUAUAUUCAAAAGUUCUUAUAUACUAUAUACGCAAUUAUUCAAAAGUUAAACCAGCAAAUACUAUAUAUAUAUAUAGCUACCAUUUUCUUAUCAACAAAUUUUACUAUGACAACAUCUAUCGUAAAUAUACCUGAUCAAUAAGUAUAAGUAACAAUAAACUUUAACCAAGGAUGUAUCUAUUAUGGAGUCGCUUUUCUUACAUCAUCACAUGGAAGAAUUUGUUAAAAUAUUUGUCUUUUUUUCUGACGGAGUGGGUGUCCGGGUCAAUCCGGACGGGGCCCAACUAAUCCCACUCCGGCUCGGGAGGAGAGGCCACAUCCCCCGAACACGAUAAUCACAGGAUUCGGACCCAUGCGGGCACUGGACACCAGCUUCUAAGGAGGCUUGCUGAAACCAAUCGAGUUACCCAUGAGGGGCAGACAAUUUGGUGGGAGGUCUUCCACCCCACCACCAGGAGAGGUGGUGGCCACUGAGCUUUAAAAUAUUUGUCAUUGACCCCCCUGUGAAGCGUAGAAAAUGAACCACUUGGAAAGCCUCGUCAAUUCUUCAAACAUCAACCGCAUCUCAAGAGCAGUCCUUCCUUCUGUUAACUUCAGAUCUAAAGGAAAAAACUUCCUGUUGAACUCAUGCUCUUUAUACUUGAUCCUUGUCUCGUUUAAUUGUUUGAAUUCUUGCCACGGCUCUGAAUCGAAUCCCGUUUGCCUCUAUUUCUUGGAGAAUAUUGCAGGAGAAAUUUGCUUUUUGUUGAAUUUGAGUAGUCCUCCAGAACAAAACCGAAUUCUUCAUCAAGUUUUGGAAACUUCAGCACUUGUUCAGCUGUGCAAGCCGUCCAGGUACAAAGGUUACUUCUUAAAGUUCCCUUUUGAACCUUCACUGUAAAAGGGUACAUGCAGAUGUAGCAUUUCUAUCGCGUUUUGCAAUCAUGUUUUGGAUUGAUUGCACUUUUGCAGCCUUGACAUUUUUUCCAAUUUCUGCUUGGCACGUCAGUCGUUUAUCAAGCUGCUUUUUUUUUUCUUUGUCCUCUUUUUUGCCAAGAAACAUUUGUUGAGUUCUUCAUGUGACUUAUUAAAACUCAGAUAAUCCCUGAUAAAGAAGCAGCCAAGAAAAAAAAAAUCACUUCAAUUAGUAGCAUUUUUUGGUCGAUGUACUUAUUUAAUUACUUAAACAUAUUGCUUGCUUGGGUGCAUACUUGAGCAAGUACUUUUUCUAUUUGAUAAUGUGUAAUUUUGAAUUUCUAAAGCAUAUUUAUCUCUUCAUUUAGUUUAAAACUUAUAACAAAAUUGUUAGAGUUAAUUUUUUUAUUUUUUUGAAAAACAAAAGCUAGUCUAAAUACACCAAUUUUGAGGUUGUUCAAAAAGUGCUUUAGGCUCUGUUUGGAUUGAAGAAAGGAAGGGAAAGGAAAGGAGAGGAUACCAAUAAAAAAGAAAGGAAAGGAAAGUAGAGAAAAGUGGUCGCCAUCCAUCUUUUUUGGAUUAAGUAUGAAAGGAAAAGAAAGGAAAUACUAAAUUUUUGUUUGGAUUGAAGAAUGAAAGAAAGUAAUGGAAAAGAUUAGGUGUUAAUUUAGUGGAAAAGAUAGAGAAAAAUGAUCUUUAAAAAAAAUUAAAUUAUUUCAAUUAAUUUAGUUUCAUUUUCCUCCACUUUAGCCCAAAAGAAUAAUUCAACAAAAUAAGUAGAUCCUUCCCCUCCCUUUCCCUCUCUAUCCUAUCUUUUCCCUCCUCAAAAGUCAAUCCAAAUGACAAAAACCAAAUCCCUUGAAUUCUUCUCAUUUCCUUCCCCUCCAAUUCCUCAAUCCAAAUGGUGCCUUAAUAUCCAAAAGUUCUAAUUCUAAAUUCAAAGAGUGGUGUUCACCAAAUACAUUAAAAGUGCUUUUUACCAAAAGCACUGCAACUCCAAAACAGUGCUUAAAGGCCUUUUUAUAUUUCACAUUUUUCACUUUAUUCUUAGUUAUAACUCCUUGUCUGGUAUGCAUAAAUGGCUAGAAUGGAAGGUCUUUCCACAAUUCCACACAGAAUGGUAGGGAGAAGAAUUUAUCAUUCUAAUGUCUAAUACACAAAUCAAAACGAAAUAUUUAUUUAUUUUCCAGUAUUUGGUAUAAUCCAUGUUUAGAUGUCAGAAUGGAAUACAAUUAAUUCAAAUUUAACUUAAUUGUCCUGGAUUAGUUUAUAGGACAUAACAUGUUUAUUUGUUAUACAACGUUAUUCAUUUGUUUAUGUGAAAUUUGACAUUUUUUUUGCUUUCGUAAUAAUUGAUUAUUGAUAUUAAAAUUUUUCAAUUGAAACAUUUAAUUCAUUCUAGCAUAUAGAUUUUUAGGUUAAAAUUUUACUUCCACUAGCAAUAUAAUUAAUUAAUAGCAAUGUAAAAUAUAAAUUACAUGAAUCCAAACAAAUAUAAUACAUUUUUUAAAUUUUUAUUAUGUUUUAAUUUUAUAUAAAAUACAAAAUAAUUUCACACCAUUAUUCAAAAGUUAAAGAAUAAUUACCUUAAAAUAUUUGUUUGCUACUAAAAAAAAAAAAAAUUAUUUUAAGCACAAUAAAAAUUGUUUAUUAAGAAAAAUUACACUUAACUAUUAAUUGAGCUCACAAAUAUUUUAAGACAUUGUAACGGGUAAAAAGAUUUAUAAGGAUAAAGUUGGGAAGAGCUUUCCUGAGAUUUUUUAAGGAAUGUGAUUCUAGGAAAAAAUUGAAAUGAGACUCCCAAUUGCCCCCAUCUGUCCUUGCACUUCCCUUUCCUCUCCUCUACUCCCUACCAUUUUCAGAGUUCUCAAUUCCUCUAUAACUUCUUCACAAAUGGCGCUCCAAUUAGACGAUUCCUACCCUUUUACCAAAAUACAUCUGCCUCAAUUUCCUUCGACCCCUGAAUUGAUAGUAUCGAUUUAAUCUUUGUAUUCAACUUCAAACUAAAUUAUUGAGGUCCUUUUCGGCAAAAACUCAGACAGCGAAGUGACAGCUGAAUACUUCAAAAUCAAAAGCCAAGCCAGCAAAUGAUACUACUGUUGCCUUGUGAGUUUUAAUCUAUAUAGCUUUCUGCUUCUUGGAAUAGAAAAACUAUCUUACUUUGUUGUACUUAAAAAAACAUUAUCUGUGCAGUCUUUAUGUAUCUGAUUUCAUAUCAACUGAACUUCAGGCAUGAAUUCAAUUAAUCAAUAUAUUUAUGGAUAGGGAUAAUUUUGAAAACCUCCCCUGAGGUUUGGGCUAUAACUAUUUAAAAACCUUCAACUUUCAGAAAUGUCACAUACCUUCUUUAUCAGUGAGAUGGGAUCCGUAAUCACCUAAAAAUGUUUGGAUUGACAAACCACCUUUUUUAGUUUAACAAUUAUUUAGGCAAAAGCAUACGGAAGAGAAAAACCAAAAUCGCUGCAAUAGAAUGGCUAUUUUAGCAAAUUUUUUUGCACUUAGACCAUCUGCUUAUUUAGUCUUUUUAUGGCAACAAUAUAUCAAAUUAUCCUUGCUAUUCUAAUAAUUGUUUAGGCAAAGAAAAUCUAGAAGAAAAAAAUCUGAUAAAAACAAUGGUUGUUCUAACAGUUAGUUGCACUUAGCUUCCUCCCUCCGGAUUUCUUUCUCCUCCAGUGCCAACUUCAUAUUAAAUAAUUCGUACUAUUCUAAAAUUUAUGCAGGCAAAAAAAAAAAAAGGAAGAUAAAAUACCAAAAUUCAUAAGAAUUGAUAUUCUACCAACUAAUUUCAUAUCAAAAAAGUGAUUUCAUAUUGUAGCACUAAAAGUUUGGUUUUCUUAAUUUUCUCUGGUCAUUAUUUAUUGUGCUGUAAGUUUUUUGCUUUUGUUAAUUAUUUUAAUUGUUAAUGUCAACUACAAACUCCGGUGGUAAUUUAGUUGUUGGUUAUAGGGGUGGGUACCCGCCACCAUUUGGCUGACCCGACCCGCACCUUGCGGGUCAGCCAUUUUCUGACCCUUACCCGCCCUGAAUAUCAGCGGGUACCCGUUAUAAGGUACCCGUUGAGAUAGGAUCGGAUCAGCGGGUACCCGUCCCGCCCCGUUUAUCAUUUAAUUUUUUUUAAAAAAUGAUUUAUACCAAUUUAAUUUUAUAUUUUACACAUUCAUCUAAAUUUAAUAAUUUUUUUUUCUAAAAAAAGGUUUCCCACCAAGAAACAAACAUAUGAAGAGAAUAUAAGAUAAAGGGAAAAAAAUUAAAAAAUUCAAAAUCAAUAAAAGUUUGAAAUAAGUAGCACAAUUUUUAAUAUAUAUGUUCCACAUUAAUUAAACUUUUUUCUAUAAAAUAUAAGAUCAUAACCUUUACAAAUGAAUCUUGUAAAUAAACUAUAGUUUCUCAUAUUUGUAAUGCUAUUUGUUCAAUAAAAUUACUUAUUUAGUUCUAACUUAUUAUUUUAUAGUGUGUGUAUAAAAAUAAAAAUAAAAAUAAAAAAAUAUAUAUAUGCUGGGCGGAUCAGGUACCCGCGGGUUUUUAAUUAUGUGACCCUAACCCGCACCGCAUCUUAGCGGAUACCCGACCCUUUUUUGACCCGAUCAAAUAAUAAAAAUCGGAUAUCCUAAUUUUCGGAUCGGAUCGGAUCGGAUAUGACGGGUUUUUUGCCCACCCCUAGUUGGUUAUAGUUAGUUUCUUGUAUUACAAAACAUGUAUAACCUAGAAAUUAAAAAUACUUAGCUAUGAAUAUCGAACUUAAGAGCUUGUUUGUGAUCAGUUGAUAAUAGCGAUAUAGUGACUAAUAAAUGAUAAAGAAGAACCGCGGAAAAAUAAAAAGAAAAAAAAUGAGAGAGAGAGAGAGAGAGAGAGAGUACAAGACAAAAAGAGAGGGAAAAAAAAAGGAAAAAUAAUUUGACUCACAUAGCUUCAUCUAUGUCUCACUUUAUCUAUGAGUUCGCACCAGUUUACACUGUGAAAAGUGAUAUCAGAUGUCAAAUAUUGUCAAUAAGCAGAAUGGUUUUAUUUAUGACUUACAUUUUUUUUUUUUUUUCUGACGGAGUGGGUGUCCGGGUUAAUUCUUACGAGAUCCGACUAAUCCCACUCCGGCCUGGAAGGAGAGGCCCUAUCCCCCGAACACGAUAACCACAGGACUCGAACCCUUACCGAUACUGGACAUCAACUUUUAAGGAGACUUGCUGAAACCAACCGAAUUGUCCAUGAAGAGCAGACAAUUUGGUGGAAGGCAAGGGUUUAACCCCUGACCUCCCACCUCACCAGGAGAGGUGGUGGCCAAGCUCGAUGGUUUAUUUAUUUAUGACUUGCAUGAUUCACGAGUUCACACCAUUUCAGAAAAAAUGACAUGACUUUAUUUAUAACUGACACAAUUUAUGAGUUCACGCCACUUCAGAAAAAAUGACAUGGUUUCAUUAAUAACUCGUAUUAUCUAUGAGUUCACACCAUUGUACACUGUAAAAUAUGACAUCAGGUAAUGCCAACAAGUACACUAAAAAAAAAUUGACGUGACUUCAAUUAUGACUCAAAUAAUCCAUGAGUUCACACCACAUCACAUCUUAAUAAGUGACAAAUGAUGCCGCGUAAAGCAUGGUCCGCGCUAGAAUUUGCCUCACCACUGAGUGCUAUAUUAAGGGUCCUUACUAGAGUCGGCGAAAAAGCCCAACACCCAACGAUCCGUCCAUUAAUUUUAAAGGAUGGAUUGGGUCAAUUGGGUUAUGAGUUUUGUUGGAUUGAGUAAGAACAAUCCAACCUAUUCAUCGGAUGGGUUGAAUUUUUUAUUUGGAUACCCAAUACCCAACUUGUUUAAAAGUAAUUCAAAAUAAUAAAUACAAUAUUCAAUACACAUAUCCUCAACUAUUUGUAUUUGAACAUGUGUUAAUAAUGCAUUGAUUAAUUUGUAUUCAAAAUUCUUAUAUAUAUAUAUAUAUAUAUAUAUUUUCAAUCAAUUUUUUUUAACUUUUAUUUAAAAGAAAAAAGUGCCCAAGAUGACCAAGAUGACAAUUGACAGCCACCAUCUUUAUUUUCUUUUAAAUCAUGUCUCCACCCGAUUUAUUGGUCUGAAGAUAAUUAUUCAGUUCUUUCCCUCUCUUCUUUUUUCUCCCCUGAUAAAUUUUUUUUUUUAAAAAAAAAUCCACAAUACUUUUUGAUUGCUGUUUAACAAAAAAUUACAAUUGAUCCGCAGGUAGUGAAACAAAUUCUAACAUAAAUUUAUAAAGUACUAAAUUGACAAUUUGUUAAAAGGCAUUUAACUCUUAAAACUGAUUUAUAAGUCGUGAUUAAUACAAUCAUUCUAGAACACGAGUAUUUACUUAUUACAAGGCAUAUGGACUCUAUAUGUUGAACAGGACACAAAUAAAGAGAAUACCUAAUACUAAUACUAGAACAUCGUUUCACAUACGUAGUCCAAAAGCAUUUUCUUCGAAUCUAGCUAUUCUGACUGAUACAGAAUUUUUGGUCUUGAUAUCUAAUGCACAAACUUUGCAAGCCGAAAUUUUGGUUUCAAGAGUACUCUAAUUGUUGAUACUAAUAAUGUUAUUAUACUUAUAAUCAUUAGAGUCCAAUGAAUUAAGGAAAGCCAGCUUCUGCUUCUGCUAGUUACAAAGUGCACCUUAAUUAAUUGGUUGUCAAUUAUUUGCUAGACUCAAAACAAUCUGGAAUUUCAAAUUCAAAUUUUACACAGUUAUCAUUCAUCCAACGUUGAUAGUGCAUACACUGUCAGUGUAGGAAAGAUUAAUUUUUACUUUUAUUAUAUGCUACAAACAGAUAUAGUAGUAGUAUUACUUUUCUCGAUCAAGUGUUAUAAUCUUAAGUAAUCACAAGAUUCCUGAUUUUUUAAAUUUUUUUAGUAUAAGAAGUGAGUGUGUGUUUGUGUGCAUGAAAAUACAUUUAUGUAUGUGAAAAUGUGUUUAUAUGUGUGAAAUUUUUUUUUUUGUGUGUUAAAAUGUAUGUGAAAAAGUUUAUGUAUUAAAAUGUAUUAAUUAAUAUGUUGGGUCAUAUUUGGGUCAUGGGUUUAAGACAAUCCAAUAUGACCCAACGCAAAAUCAACCCAAUUUAAAGUUGAAUGGGUUGGAUAUAUCCCAUUUAAGUGAAAAUCCAAUAUUAACCCGCCCAAAACCUGUCCAAUCCGUCCAAUUGCUAGGUAUAGUCCUUACCUACAUGCACAAGCUACGUUUGUACUCUGUGUUUCUGGACGGUGAACCACAAAAAUUAUGGCAUCACCUGUCUCAAGUUGGUCUCCCACCGCGGGAUCCUUGCCUGCUAAAUAUGUUGCCCCUGCAGAAGAAAGGCCAGGGGCUUUUCCUAUUCCAAUAAGCAAUGAAAUACCAGUAAUUGAUCUUGGAAUGCAAAUGACCGUGCUGAUUUAUUACAACAAAUUAUGACAGCAAAGCAAGCAAUUGAUCUUGGGCUAUUUCAGUCAUGUCUUCCUACCAACUCGAGUUUGAAUCUCUCCUGGAACAUCUGUCUCUUGCAUAGGCUUGCGUAAUGCAUCUUACCUCUCCGUAUAAUUGGCGGGGGUUUACCCAGUGCACACUCUUGGAUAGCGGCUGCGGGUUUUUUUAUCAACAAAAAAAAUUUUUAAUUUUUUGGUAGUAUGUAGUGUACUAUUUUGAAAAAAAUUAGGAAUUAUAAGUAUGAAUUGGGUUGUAUGGCAUCUGUGAAAUAGGUGAUCAACCAUGGAGUACCAAGGGAAUUAAUGAUUGAAGCUAUAAAUAUGGGCAAAGAGUUCUUUGGUAUGUCCAUUGACGAAAAAGCUAUCUUCUGCAAGAAUUCUGCUAAAACUGGAAAAAAGGGGUAUAGAAUGUACACAAGUUCUCCUUCUCUAACUGGAAAUGAUUUUGAAUAGUGGAGAGAUACUAUGCAUCACCAUCUUCAUGCUCUCGGAAGCUGCAUCAAUUUUUGGCCUUACAGCCUUCAAGAUACAUGUAACCUUAAUUAUGUUUUCCUUAGGGUUCGUGGAGUUAAAAAAAUUUUAAUCAUGAUAUUUCUCAUUAUUUUAAACCUUUAGAUGAAUAAUAUUGGGCUUCAAAAUCAUUAAUAAUAGAAUAAUUUAAUUCAGAAAAAUUGUAAAAUAUUUUGAUAUUAAUCACAUAAAUUCGAAAAGUAUCAGAACUGAUGCCCUUGAAAUAUCAAAUCCAACUAACCUAUCAGUAUUGACGUCCAUAGUAAAUCCAUAGCGUCACAUAAAUCUAAGAAAGUUUUUUAGUCAAACUUAUUAAUUUGCAGUAUAUUUGAAUAAUCAGUUAACAAAAUUUAAUCUAUUUCCAUAGUGGAUGAAUUACUAAAAUUGGUCUUCUAUGCAUCUGUGUGCAUAGUUAUGAACAUACAAGUAUACAUAUUUACGCAUAUUUAUGAACUAAAAUACACAAUUAAUUAUAGAAAAACAUUUAGAAAUGUAAUUUAAAUAAUAUAAAUUUUAUCCAUGAUAAGUUGCAAAACAAGCCUAUACAACUUUAAGUAUAAGAAUAAAAAUAUGUUUUAAAUAAAAUAUUUUAUUUUACUUAAUUGGUUAAACCAAAACCAAAAUUCAAAGUUACCAUUAAAUAAAAUCACCAAAUUGUAAUAUUAAAUAAUCUACUCUAAUUGUACGGUUAAAUAUGUAACAUGUGUUAUGUGUGUAAUGUUUAAAUCAACAUUCAUAUAAGAAAAUAGUUGAAGGCGAAACUGUAAUAUAUAUUCAUAUUUUCGUCCUUCAUUAAGAAUUAUUCAAAUUUCAAAUCUCCUUCCCUUUAUUUGAAAAAAAAAAAAAAAUAGAGGUUAGGACCUUUCCACAAAAGCAAUGACAAAAAGACUUCCUUUGAGAAGGCGAAUUUCACACUCAUAUGUACUUUGGAGUUGACAUGAAAGUAUAUAAAAUUUUUGAUGAGGCAAACAAUUCUACUUAUAAAUGAUAUUAUUGAAAACCUUCAUAAUAUUAGGGGAGAAAAACAUAAAUUUGUAUUGGGGAGAUGCCUCUCUCUGUCCCCUUAAGUCCGUCCUUGCACAAAAGUUGUUUCUAGUGAAAUGAUGGACUAAAGUCACUAAACACUGCAACUCCAUGUCCCAGUGAUGAAGAAUCCCAUCUAUGGAUCAGAUAUAAAGCAAGAGCCCUUUUCCAAUUGAAGAAACUUUACACCCCCUGCACAUAUAUUCGAGUUUUAGAGAAGUAAUUUUGUCGCUUGUGACCAAUUAAUGCAUGAAUAUUUAACAAGCUCUACAAUCGAUCUAUUAUUAUUAUUCUCUAAUUUUUUUUUAAGAAAUUAAAAAUAUGAAGGGUUGAAUUUAAUUCUAAGAAACGUGAAAGACCAAUUACAUUGUUUUGUAACGGAGAAUAGGCAACAAAGUGGGAAGAGGAGGAAUGCUGUUUAUCUCUUUUUUGUCACCUUUUGUGCUUCCUCUUAGUCCCUCGUAGCAAAAGACAGAAAAGAACCAUUUCCCCACUUCAGAUUUGUAGGCCCAAUAAAAUAGGAUUAAUCUUUCUUUCGUUAUACGCUGUCAGCGUUGGGUUGGAUGAAUGAUAAUUAUACAAAAUUUAAAUUUGCAAUUCAACUUUUGCACAUAAGUCAUGGAUCUACUAGUGAUAGCAUGUACACUGUCGGUAUAUAUAAGAUUUAUUCAAUAAAAUAUCUAAUAAUCGCUAGUGAUUACUAUCUUCCACAAGAAAAUAAUAAUAAUAGGACUCAUAUUUACAAGCCAAUAAGUCAUUCAAUAUGUCAUUUAUAUCUUGUUGAAUUUCUUUUCUUUUAAUUUGCAAAUACAUGAGUGCGCCUUUUCCGCUGGUACUAAUAAAAGGUGGAAAACUUUGCCUAAAAAGAUUUAAUUCCCAGGGCAAUUAGUGGACCAUACAAGGUGGAAAUGUCAAGGCUGCAGGCUGGGCUUGAGACUUUUGGACCUGAUCUAAGAACGUUUCAGCAACAGAGACAAACAAUACGAGGAACAUCAGUCAACAAUUUCCAAUUCUCGGGGGAAUAUUUGGACGGACACGGUGGACUUGACAAAGCUGGGCUUGAUAAUUUGAACCUGAUCUAAGAAUGCUUCAACAACAAAAAUUUGGGAAACAAGAUUUAAGACUCGCAAUCAACUUAUGGAAUUGGCCCAAGUCUAGCGUUGGCUUUAGGUGAACACCGUAUUUUCAUUUCAUUUUGACCGCAAGGGAUAAAAUCAAGUUGUGCAUUAGUGAAUGUCAACGAGUUUUAGUCUAUUGUUUCAUCUUAUUAAUUUGAUGGGAGGGGUUAAAUCCACACUUCUACACAUUAAAUUCACACACUACACACUUAUUAAACAAUUGUAUGGCCUUAACUUUUGUACAUUAGAUCAACACUUUUUAUAGUAUUUAAUUAUCUUUCUAGAGGGAAUAGUAAUAUCAUUUCUACAGAAAAAUUUCAUACACAAUUCUUUAUUUAAGUCGUAUAUAGAAAUUUCUUUUCUUGUUUCUCUCAUUCCAACAUUUAUGUUGUUCUAAAGUUGUUUUAAUUUUUUUCUUCCCUCUUAUGACCUACUAUCUUUCUUUUAUUAAACUUUCUUUAAAACUUGCAUGUAACCAAAUGGUAAAUAUUAGUAUGAAAUCAAUGUGAUUGCAUAUUUCACCUUGGAACUUGCUUGAUUUUAAUUUUAUGGAAUUGAAACACAUGAACGUUUCUAUUUACAUGCUUAUUAGUAAUUGAAAAUUUUGGAUUAGUAUAUUAAAUUUUAAAUUGGUAAACAUUCCUAAACCCUUGUACAAUUUUUUAAUAUAUUUUCUUUUUCAUUGUAGUCAUUUAUUUUUCCUAUUUUUAUUAUAAAAAUAUAUGCUUCUUGAAACUACAAGAAUCAUAAAAUAAACUUAAAACCUAAGGACAUAAAUGGCUAAUAAGUGUACAAGGUAUGGAUUUUGUAUGGAAGGGCAUGGAUUUAAUUCUCCUUUAAUUUGAUUAUCUUCAAAAAAGAGGCAUAAUUUAGGGUUAACAGCCAAAUGAGGCAAAGUACAUAGAUACAUUUAACACAAAUUGUGAAAUUAAAUUAUACCCUACAGUGUCAUUGAAAGUGUCAUGCUUUCAUUUUUUGUUUGUCCAAAAAUAUUUGUCACUUAUCCAAUAUAGCAAAAACUUCUGCUUUGAUUUUCAAGUUCUACCUUUUGUUGUUACUAUUAAUUAUUUAUUGUGUGCUUGAAUUUUCAAAAUCAAAACAUCAACUCGUAAUGUGCGUCAAUUGCACGCCCAACCAUGGAGCAUGCACAUUGUGUGUGUGUGUGUCCUUGGCGCUCCAUGAUAGAUUCAAAUAUCCAUAAAGACAAUAAACGAUUGCGGGCCAUCCAUGUCAUACUUGUCUUGAAAACAUUUACUACCUCUGUCCCAUUAAAAGUGUUAUACUUUUCAUUUUUUAAGAUUUUUCAAAAUAAUUGUUAUGUUAGAAAAGUCAAAACACAUUUUAGUGUCUCUUUUCAAUAUAAUCAUUCUUUCUUAUUAUAUACAUGUUACCAUUCAAAUUUAAAAUUUGAAUUUGUAGGGGUAAAAUUGAAAAAAGAAGCACAAACAUCACAAUCAAACUACUACUCUUAAAAAAUUGGAUUCACCAAAUAUGACUAAAUAAAUGGAAUGAAGGGAGUAGAUUCCAUUCCAUUAAAUGGCGCUUGGAGUGGGCAAAAUUAGAAAGAAGAAAAAUUACCCCUACUACAGCUAUUGUACAUAAAAAUCAUGGUUGGAUUCCCCAUUUUCUAGAAAAUUUUCACAAUGUUACAGUAAUAUACUCCCAAAAACACUUCCAAAAAACAACUAUUUAUACAUGUUUCAAAUACAACUAACAGAACAAUAAACAACAAAUAAAAAAAAAAAAACACCCACCACCACCCAUCACCUUCCUUCUUCUUCCUCUUUUUUUCUUCUUCCUCUUUCUUUCUCCCCAUCCUUUCUCCUCUCUCUUCUCCUCUCUUUUCCCCUCCUUCUUUUCUCUCUUGAAAUUUGAGUGUUAAGUAUGGUAAAUUAGGAGCCACUGACUUGCAAACAAAUGGAGAUUUUGAUUCUAACAUGGUUUUAAAAGGUUUAAUAAGAGGAGAAAAAACUGAUCGAAAAAGAUACUUAUAGAAAUAAAUGAAUGGAAGCUAAGUAAUAAGAUGAUCCAAUAUAUAAAUGAUGAACAAUGAUUGGAAAUUAAUUAUUUACCACAAGAUCAUGGAGAUGGACUCUUUCUUUUAGAUCAUAAUUGUAUUUCAAAUAAAUUUUACUUUGAAAAAUAUCUUACAAUUCUAUGUCAACACUAAAGUUUCCAAAUGAAAAAUUAGAUCAAUUAUAUAUAUAUAUAUAUUUAUAUAUAUCUUGUAAUACUUAAUUGUAGAAAAUCAAUUUUGGUAAAAUAAAUUGUGUUGUUCAUUAGUGAACCUAAUAGAAGAGCCCUUUUCCAAUAAUGAAAGUUGAUUCUAGUCAUAGAAUGACUUUAUUGUCAUACAAUGUUGAACAUUCUUCUCUAAGUCCUUCAAGUAAUUAACACCUAAAUUCUGGCUUUGAGUUAAAACAUGUGUUUGGGUCAUUAUCUAGAAUAAAACAAAUACAGAGGUAAAAGAGUGAUAAUUAAAUGUUGAUAAAGAAAUGGUGAGGGAAAGAAUAGUACAAGUUCUUUUUGGCAUGGUAGAAGAAGGUGCCCAUUUAAAUAAAUAAUCACUAUGGAACGGUUGUAAUUACCUUAUUUGAAGGCAUUCUCAAGCAUAUUCUAGAGGUAAUGGCAUAACCAUUGAAACCCUCUCCAUUUAUGCCAUAAGAAAAGAGCCUAAAAAGGUUUUAAAACUGAAUAGUUGACUUAGUUAAUAGAGAAUCGUAAUUCUAUAAUCCAUGACUUACCUUUUACUAUCAGCACUUAAAGCAUUUUCACACAAGAAUUAUUAGGUCACCAAUGCACCAAUGACAAUCCUUGGUACCGUAAAAUAAAACAACCAUGCUUUUAUCCCAUCAUUUGUUAAUGUGAAAAAUACAAACGCAAAGCAUUAAUCAGAAAAAGAUGAAGAAAGAAGAAGAAUAAACUUAACCAAGUGCAAAACAUUACAACACAUGAAAAAAAAAGCCAUUAAUGGUAAGAAGUAGGAUCUUCUUUUAGAUGAGCACAUAACGAGUAUGUUGGGGCACCAUGAUAUUCAAAUGUACGUUGCUUGGAGCCGGGUGAUAGAGUUCGACAUUUGACGAAAAAGUAAAGAGAUAAUUUGCCUAUUUCUAACUAGUAAACUAUUGGAGCUUAAUUUUUUUUUUUAAUAUUUGGACCUGCAAGAGUUUGUCCUCUCAAUUGAUUGCUAGAAGAAUUUGAUUAUAUGGUGAAGAGAAUGCAGAAUCAGGUACACAUCCCAAGUGAGCAUCGAUCUGCAUAGCUAAAAUCAAUGUUAGAAGCUAACCACAUUUAGAAAAUCAAAAAGAGAGAAGACAAUAGAUAUUUAUACCUCCCAACUAUUUUUCAAAGUAAUUAAUUACUAAUAGCAUAAUACAACUACACUAUGUGUUUUUGAGUAGGCAAAAUCUUUUAUAGUGGGGCCAACAGAUCAAAUUUUAACAAAAUAAAUAUGCAGAACUCAGAUAUUAGAAAGGAAGUUUGUUUCCUACAUAUGAACCAAAAAUUAAACCAUAUGGGCUCCAUAAAGCACGAUUAACUAACAUGUGUGAAUUUUGAUCGAAAUCAUUUUCUAUUGAAAUGGUAUCGUUUAUUGCAAGAGAACUUGGAUCACUUUAUUAUGAAGGAUCAUUAAUUGAUUCAUUUGCGAAAAGAAUGAUCAAUAAUUGAUUUAUUUGCCAAGAAAGGAGAAAAACCUCUAUUUUCCAAUUUAUAAAUGCACUUUGAAAAUAUAUUACUUCAAAUGUUUUACAUCACCAUUGAAGUUUCCAAGAAAAUUAGAUCAAUAGAUGAAAAUUAAUAUGUAACUUGUGCUUUGUGUGUAUGUGUGUGAGUCUAUAUAUGUACAUACAAAAAUUAAUUUUUGUAAAGGAACAUGUGUUGUAUAUCACCUAGCCUUGUAGGUGACUCCUUUCAAAAGAUGAAAGUCCAUGCAAAACAUAUUAAUUUUAGCCAUUUAAAAUGAUGAAUUGAAACCCACAGGACAUGCAAGAUAGUGCAUUAUUGAAUGAAGACCAUGUGAUAGGCAUGAGAGUGCAAUUUCAAGUAAAGCUCACGUGAUAUGCACGAGAACAUUUUUGUCCUAUUAUUACACUAUGAAAUUAAUUGAAAUAUUUUGGAUAACCUUGAAUUUUUCGGUGACUUCCUAGCAUAUUGUAAUUCUCUAAAAAAAAUUUGAUUGCCUUAUUUUUUUUCUUAAAAAUAAGGAAGCAACUUCUAAAACAGUGACUUUAAAGUUCAUUUCAAGUAGGUAGACUUCUGUGAGGACAAAACUGUGCUUUGUGAUAUUAGAGGGUAAUUACAUUUAGUACCUUAUAAUUUGACAUUAGAUAUAUUACAAAGGAAAAAUUUAACCUUUACCCAAACAGAUUAGUGAUAAAUAGAAAAUGAUAAACAUUUGAAAGAGGAAGAAAGCUAGUAUUGACUUGAACAAAAAUGUCGUGACAAAAAAUGAAACUGCAAAAACAUAUACCAAGAAAAAUUGAUGCAAGCAAGCUAAAGAAGAUUCCUAAGAUGAAGAAAGAAAGAGAAGGAAAGAAAAAUAUAGGCAAAUCAAGAAAGUCUCCAAAGACUCUAGAGUUUGGUCUCCAAAUUUCAAAACUUCGUGCUUUGGAAACUUUACCUUUGAAUCUUGUAAUGUAUGAGGAAAUAACUUUAUGUGAAGAGGGAAAAUGCAAAUGGUUCACCAAAAUUUUGAACAAGCAAGAACUUCAUGUAGAAAGAUUUUGGAUUUUGAUAUGGCAGAUAGGGUAGAAGAAAUGGAGAAUGAUGAGAAAUUUGAUAUGCACAGGAAUGAUUAUGCUGCUCCUAUCAAUGAUAUUGCAUUGCCUAACCUAAUGUUCAAAGGGGAAUGUAUCAAAAAUUUGUUCGUACAUAUCAAUGUCGCAUGUGUGGAAAUAGUGAGAACAAGUCUAUUUUCAGCUUCUUAUUGCUUACCUUAGAAUCAGAAUGAGAUAUUCAGUAUUUUUGUUCAUAGGAAAAAUUUUAAGAAUAUGAAAAUUUUGAUUGUUCAUCAAUGGGAUGUCAAAUCCUUACUAGUCUUACACCAAAAGAUAUAUUUAAGAUAAAAAUUUUAAGAAUAUGCAAUAAAGUUUUUUUUAAGAAUAUUUCUCAAAACACCUAAUCAGCAUGAAUCCUUUGUUUGAAUAACUUAGUUUACCACUUGCUUGCACAUCGAUGGUGCAUAUUAUUUGGUAAAUAUAUAUGCACUUGACAUUUUAUUAUGGAGUAUAUAUUUGAUAAAUAAUAUAACAUAAGUUGUUUGUGAUUGCUUAUGAGCUAAUUAGAUGGUUAAGGGGGUAGCUUACAUGAAUAUUUAGUUGAUGGCUAUACAUUGGACCAAUCUAAAUUUCAAGAGUUAACAUGUCUUACUGUUAAAUGAUAUUAAGUUUUGAGCAAUAUUGAAUGAAAAAGUCAUUGUUUGUAUUAAAUAUGUGCGCACUAAUUAGUAUUCAUUGCACAUUUCUUCAAUUUUGAUUUUCUAGGUAUUCAAAUCAUCAAUUCAUUUCUAGUUAAAUUAGAGAUCAAUUAAAGCUUAUCAAUAACAAACAAGUUAAUUAGAUUCUUAUGCUAUGUUAGUAAGCUUAUAAACCAUCCAUAAUUGAUGUUUGAUAAAAUUUUGAUUAUCCAAAUGACCUAAAACUCGGGACUGUAGAUUCAUUUACACUCAUACUACCAGAUUAGUUUGUUCAAUAAACUUUUCUGGGGUGAAAAUGUAGUAAAAUUACUUAGAAAAAAACCAAUCUAGAAGCAGCACCUAAUGUAAAAGAAUUCUACCAUGCUAACUAUUAUUCAAAGAAAUUUUUAGUUAUGUGAAAAAUAUGGACCAAUUUGUGCAUAUUUAAUAAUUAACUAAGUCAAGGCAAAAUUCAUCCUUUUGAUGAUAGUAACUUUUCUUUGAGGAGAAAACGACAAAAGUGUAUGUAACAGCUGCCUAAAAUCAUCCCUCUUUUAACUUUUGUUCUUUACAUACUUGUUUAUUUGACGUUUAGCCCCAUAAAAACAUUAAAUUCAUGCAUUUGCUUCUUGUAGUCUUUGUAUUCAAUAGCAAUUUUUGAAACAUUUUGUAAAACUAAAUGUUGUGAGGUUCAUUCAAGUAGCAAGCGAUUUGGUUAAAUCAUACGCCAUUACUAGGGAUUCAUAGUGUACAUACCUAGUGCAGGAAGCAUUCUUUGGCACAUCAUCAACCUUAAUCUUCUACUUGUGAUCCUCGUUUUUAAAUCCUUUUAAUUACUCUUUACCUAGAUGAACUAGCACAUUUUCUGAAUUCAUAUCUCUUGACUUGCCGUUCACCUUCAGAUAUGUAGUCAUGGGAAAUCAUCUUAAUCUUGACACCUUUUGCCAACCUUGAUGCUUUCUAUAUAGCAGAUAGUUGACAAAGAAAAUAUUUGUCAUGGGUUCCUCUUAAUUCCUCCAGAACAUUACCCCUAUUGAUAAGAUAGAAAGAAUCAAAACUAUAGAUGCACUACACAUAAACCAAUUGUAACCACAAUUUUACAUGAGGUGUGAAAUGAGCUUAAUUUUUUUCAUUUUUCUUGAGUUGAAUUAUUUUUUUAGGAGAUAGAAACAUAUAGUUGCUUACAUAAGAUCAUAACUUCAGGUGCCUCAUAUAUUCAAGAAGUAUUCUUUAUUGGAUACCUUUACAACAUCUAUUUAACGAUUCAAGAUUUUUUAAAUAAAAAAAUAUUGAUAUAAAAAUUGAUACUAAAUUCAUUUCAAAAAACUUAAUUAUUUUUUCCAUUAUGCAUAAAAAUUAAAGAUGCAAUCAAUUUAUUUAAUAGUUUCACAAUUUUUGCACGAAGACACUUAUAUGUAUGUCCUAAGUUUUUGUGGCUUCAUGUUAGAGAAUUCUAUAAUUUUCAAAAAGAAUAACUUUGCUGGCUACGAAAGAAGAAGAGGCAAAUGGCCUGAGAAACUGGUUAUUUUUUCCACUGUGAAUAAUAAAUUAAAGAUCAAAUCAAUUUAUUUUCACUUUAAUAUUUUCACGAUUUUUGCACAAAGAUACUUAUGUGUAUGCCUUAAGUUUUUCUGGCUUCAUGUUAGAGAAUUCAGUAACUUUCAAAGAGAAUAAUUUUACUAACUAGGGAGGAAGGCUAGACAAAUGGUCCAAGCAACUAGUUAUAAAUACUAAGGCUCCUAGAAACAUACAGAGGAGACUAUACUUUAUUGUGAUGGUGAAUUUUUGACACGAAGGUAGAAUAGAUUACCUCUGUUGAAGGCUUACUCAUUGGUACCAAAUCGUACGGUUGGUAGAACAGGGAACAACCGAGCCCAAGUGCUUGAUAUUGUUAGUGGUUAUUGUCAUUCCAUCUAUUACGAAUUACAAGCUCCUUUCAAAGCUAGUAAGACCAAUAACUACUCUUUCCACAUUUCUUUCUAGUUUUCAUUCUCAAAAUAUUGAAAUCUUGGAUUCGUUACUAGCUAGACUAGAAAUCAGCAAAACCGUUUGGGCUCAAAUCAAGUUAAUGAGAUUGAUAGCUUUCUUAAGUAAGCUUUUAAGCCCCUUCUAUAAUUGAUGUUUACUAAAAUUUUGACGGUCAAGAUACAAUAAAAAUCGAGAUUAUAGAUUUACAAGGUGUGUGGAUAAACAACUAUGAGAAGGUUGCUGCAAUAAACAUGUUUUAGGUGAAAAGAUAAUAAAGUUACUUAUGGAUGGAAUAAACCACUAGACACAGUACCAUGGAAAGCAAAUUUACCAUGCUAAACAAUAUUUGCAAAAUUUUUUAGUUAUGCCAAAAUAAAUUAGACUUACUUGUGCACAUGCAUUUAAUAAGUACCAAUACUCGAUUAAAAUUUUUUUUGACUAUCCAACAACAUAAGUUCUCUUAGCGGAUGAAUGCGAUAACAUGUUCAUAAGGAUUGCUUAAAAUCCCCCCACUUAUUUUUUUUUCCCAUAACUUAGGCCGUGUUUGGAAGGUAUGUUUUUUGCCCUCUUUUCAAUAGACAAGUUUUUUUUUUCUAACAAUUUUGCCUAUAUUAACUCUUAAAAAAUACCCCAAAAUUUUUAAAACACAUAGUCAAAAUACCCAAAAAUACACAAGUUUUUUCUUCCUUUCUUUUCUUCUGCUUCUUCAUUCUCGCCACCUUAGGCCAUCACUGAGGCCACCACCCUUCCUUCCCUCUUUGUUUUUUACUUUUCUCUCUCUCUUUCUCUCCCUUCCUUUCUGCCCUUUCUCCCUUAAAACUCCACACUUUACCCUACAUUCCUUCCCCCCAUAAUAUUCCCUCCCCAUCUCCUCUAACCCAUUUUUCCUCUUGUAGAUAAAGAUCCCCAAUUUUCCCUUCUUGGAUCAUAUUUUCCUCUUACAAUAAUUAUUCAAAUUUAUUUUACAAGGUUUUUUGGUUGAUUUUCUAUUGGAUUUGUUUCUUUGAAUAAAUUUCAUGGCCUAAAAGGCUGAAAAUGGCCCAGAAGAUGGAGAAAGAAGAGACGGAAUUCAAAGUCAUACCGGAGACCAUCAUACCCUAUGUUAAUAGCUGCAACAAUACUGGAAAUCUGAUGACGAAUAAUAAGUCCCAGAAAUGCUUCAACGCCACAUCAUUUGCCUUCUCAUAGUUGUCAUCUUCAUCAACAUCCUUAUUGGUAACCUCUUCUAUAGUAGGAGCUAAAAAAUUCGGAGAGAAAUCUCCUAGAUCUUGCUCAUCUAAGAGGCUAUCGCCGGAGAGGAUGCUGAAUCUAGCGGAAAUAAGAUGAGAUCUAAAGAAGGAGAUAAAAGGAGACUUUAUUAGCUUAGGCUAUAGCUCAGGCUAUAGCUUCGGCGACAGAGGGGGUGGUUAAGAAGGGGGAGAGAAAGAGAGGAAAAAAAAAAAGAGGGAAGGAAGAGUGGCGGCUGAUGGGGGCGCCAGUGGGAUGGAAGAGCGGGGGAAGAAAGGGUUUACUAUAGGGAGGAAGAAGAAAGAGGAAAGAAGGAAAAAAAAAAAAAAAGAAAGGAAAAGAAAAGGGAAAAAAAGAGAAAGUUUUCAAUUUUUUCAAAUCUUAAAUACAUAAAAGUUUUUUACAAUAUUUACAGUAAGUUACAGCAAAAUUUUAUACAAACAGUCAAAAAAUAUACCAUCCAAGUGGGUCCUUAGUUAUUUGACAUUUACCCCUGCAUUUCAACAGCAUUAAGUUUUUUAUUUGAGCAAAAUGUCAAAAAUAUCUGUAACGGCUUCAUAACAUAUAAUAAUUUUAAGAAUCUAUAUAUUUUGCAUUUGGUUCCAUAUCAUAAGCAUUUAAUGGUUAAAUUUUUAAUUGAGGUAAACUUGAUUCAUCAUUUGUUUGACAUUAGUGGCCAUAUCAUUAGGUAAACAUAUGGAAUUGUUCAUAUUUGUAAUGUGGAAUAUGCAUUUGAUAAAUGUUAUAUCACAAGUUAUACUCACUUGCUUUUUUGAGCCAAUUAGUUGGAUUGCAAGUAGAGUUCUUGCAUAUUUAGUUGGUUGUUAUAAAUUAAGGUUAUUUAAAUUUCUGGAACUAAAAUGUCUUAAUGGAAUUCAUUUUCUAACAAUUGUUUAGUGAAAAAUCACUAACUAAUUGUGUGAGAGAUGCGAAUACUUAUAGCUAUCCUUUGUAUAUUUCCUUCUACUUUUCAAUUUAAAUAUAUACAAAUCUGUAAUUCAUUACUAGUUAUGUUAUUGAUUGGAAAAAUGUGUAAAAGUAUGAGUUAAAAAACCAAUCAAUUGGCAUCAUACUCAUUCUCAUUAAUGGUUAAAUAUUAAGGCUCUUUUGGAUUUGUAUUUAGAGAAAUAAAUGAUUGCAAGCUAAGCGAUAAGAUGAUCAAAUAUAUAAAUGAUGAAUAAUGAUUGGAAAUUAAUUUAUUUACCAUAAGAUCAUGGAGAUAGACUCUUUCUUUUAGAUCAUAAAUAUAUUUCAAACAAAAUUUACUUUGUAAAAAUGUCUUACAAUUCUAUGUCAACAUUGAAGUUUCCAAAUGAAAAAUUAGAUCAAUAUAUAUCAAUAAUACUUAAUUGCAGAAAAUAAAUGUUGGUAAAGUAACUUGUGUUGUUAAUGAAACUCAUAGGAGAGUUCUUUUGUAAAAAUGAAAGUCAAUGCUAGUCACUAAUGAGUUCACUGUCAUACAAUGUUGAACAUUCUUCGCUAAGCCUUUUAGGUAAUUGACACCUAAAUUCCAGCUUUGAGUUGGAACAUGUGUUUGGGUCACUAUCUAGAAUAAGACAAAUGCAGAGGUGGAAGAGUGAUAAUUAAUAUUGGUAGAGAAAUGGCGAGGGAAAGAGUAGUACAAGUUCUUGGUGGCAUUGUAGAAGAAGAUGCACAUUGAAAGAAAUAAUCACUAUAUUGAUGAGAAAAAUCACUACAGAAUGAUUGUAAUUACCUUAUUCAGAAAUCUUCAAGCAUAUUCUAAAGGUAAUGCCAUAACCAUUGAUACCCUCUUCAUUUGUGUCACAAGAAAAUAACCUAAAAAGGUUUUAAAGUUGACAUAAAAACAGAGAAUCAUCAAAUUGUAAUUCUAUAAUCCAAUACUUACCUUUUACUAUCAGCACUCAAUGCAGUUUUAUUCAAGAAUGACCAGGUGCAUCAAUGCACCAAUGACAACCCUUGUUACCAUAAAAUAAAACAACCAUGCUUUUAUCCCAUCAUUUGUUAAUAUAAAAAAUACAAAAUGCAAAGCAUUAAUCAGAAAAAGAUAAAGAAAGAAGAAGAAGACAUAGACUAAACCAAGUGCAAAACAAUUACAACACAUGGAAAGAGAAAGUCAUUAGUGGUAAGAAGUAGAAAUUCUUUUUGGAUCUUCUUUUGUAUGAGGACAUAACGAAUAUAUUGGGGCACCAUGAUAUUCAAAUGUAUGUUGCUUUGAGCCAUGUGAUACUGUUCCGCAUUUGGCUAAAAAGUGAGUAGAUAAGUUGCUAGUUUUCUCUUAUCAGUAAACUAUUGGAGCUUAAUUUUUUUAAUAUUUGAAUCUGUAUGAGUUUGUCCUCUCAACCGAUUAUCAGGAGAACUAAAUUAUAUGAUGAAAAGAAUGCAAGAUCAGUUACACAUCCCAAUCGAUUUGCGUAGUUAAAGUCAAUGCUAGAAACUGACCACAUUUAGAAUAUCAAAAAGAGAGAAGACAAUAGAUAUUUAUACCUCUCAAUUGUUUUUAAAAGUAAUUAAUUACUAUUAGUAAAAUACAACUACACAAUGUAUUUUUCAGUAUGCAAAGCCUACUAUAGUGGGGGGUAAGAGAUCAAAUUUUAAUAGAAUAAAUAUGUGGAACACAUAUAUUAGAAAGGAAGUUUGUUUCCUACAUAUGAACCAAAAAUUAAACCAUAUGGACUCCACAAAAUACCAGUAACUAACAUGUGUGAAUUUCGAUCGAAAUCAUUCUAUAUUGAAAGGGUAUUGUUUAUUGCAAGAGAACUAGGAUCACUUCAUUAUGAAGGAUCAUUAGUUGAUUCAUUUGCCAAGAAGAAUGAUCAAUAAUUGAUUCAUUUGCCAAGAAAGGAGAAAACCUCUCUUUUCCAAAUUUAAAAUGCACUCUGAAAAAAUAUUACUUGAAAUGUUUCACAAUUUUAUAUCACCAUUGAAGUUUACAAGAAAAUUAGAUCACUCGACAAAUAAUUUAUAUAUAUAUACAGAAAUUAAAUUUUUGUAAAGUAACAUGUACUAUAUAUCACUUAGCCUUAUAGUUGAGUCCUUUUUAAAACAUGAAAGUCCAUGUUAAACAUAUUAAUUUUAGCCAUUUAAAAUAAUGAAUUGCAGCCCAUAUUACAUGUAAGAUAGUGCAUUAUUGAAAAAAGUCCACAUGAUAGGCACGAGAGUGUAAUUUCAAAUAGAGUUCACGUGAAAUGCAUGAGAGCACUUUUGUCCUAUUAUCACACUAUGAAACCUAAUACAUUGUAAUUCUCGUUCAUAUUUUUUUAAAAAAAAUUGAUUGGCUUAUUCUUUUUCUCAAAAAUAAGGAAGCAACUUCCAGAAUAGUGACUUUAAAGUUCAUUUCAAGUAGGUAGACUUUUGUGAGGAAAAAACUAUGCUUUGUGAUAUUAGAGCGUAAUUGUAUUUAGCACCCUUAUAAUUUGACAUUAGAUAUAUUAAAAGAAAAAAAAAAUUUUACCCGAAUGGAUUAGUGAUAAAUAGAAAAUGAUAAAUAAAAUUGAGAGAGCAAGAAAAGGAAAAUGUAAUAAAAAUGAAAAAAAUUUAAGAUCAUGGGAUUAAACCUACCUUUUCACCACAAAAUGAAGCGAAUGAAUAUCUUCCAUCUGGUCUUUGAAUUGACGAACAAAACUCUAAUAGAAUAAAGGCAAGGAAAGAAGUAUCUACGGUUAUAUAAAAAAAUUAAAUAGGUGAGAAUUACAGCCAACUCAAAUUUAAAAAUAUAAAAAAUCAAAGAAACACCCUCACUUUCAAACACCUUGCAAUCCUCCCUUCCCUCUUCCUACCUUAUAAUAAAUCCAUACUAAAUCCUAUCAACCCUCUCUUUUUCCCUCUUGGCACUGCCUCAUAUGGAGCUCCAAGUUUUACUAUUGUUUUAUAAAGAAAAAUAAAUAAAUAAAUAAAUCACCAAAUACUUCCAAAAAAAUGUAACAAAAGGCAAAGGCAUUUCAUGAAAGUAGAACAAUUAAAAGACUCAAACAGAUCCCAGCUCUAUACUCCUAGAUGUUUGACUUUCCUGCUUGUCAGGUUGCUAAGAAAUAGGAUAAGAAGAAUGUAUGAGGCUUAAAGGAGAAAUUGUUAAAAUUAUAGAUCUGGUAAUUGCUGCUAAACAGUUAUAGUAUACUAGAUUACACAAAUAAUGAAAUUUAAUAUGUUAUAUUUUUUGAAAGAUUGUUAUUCCUAGCCUUUUUUUUCCAUGUCAUUCAAUGAUUUUUAGCUCUUCCUGAGCUUUUUAUUUCCAUUUCAAUGAUAUAAUGCUAUAAGCUUAUCUUUAUUGACCAUUGUAGGUGGGACAUUUUGAGUCCUUGGAAGAGAACAUAUUAACUGAUGCCCUUGUUAAAAUAUUUAUAAAGAAUACAUGAGUAGCAAUAUUAUAAAUGACAAUGUUCAAUCUAGGUGUCAUAACAAAGCAGCAGACCUUUUAAGUAUAUACACUUGCAUCAGAAGACCUUGGUGGUGAAAGGGAAAUAAAUACUAAUUGAUGUUUCAAUGUGCAUGUUAUGUUUGUGUAUCUGCACACUUGAGUAAAGCCAUCCUUUCGCCAGUUUGGUAGAUGUAGACUGAGGACAUAAUAUGACACAGUAUGCACUGGUUGACAUGGAACUUACAUCAUUUGGUGGACCGAUUAAAUAAAUAAUUGGCUGUAUGGCAGAAAUAUCUGUAUAUGUGUAGGUUGGUAAUAUGUGUCUGUGUUGCUGUGUCAUAGUUAUAGAUAUUUAUAUUGUCGUGAACAUUCAACACAUGUUUGUAUGCAUUUUCAUCAUCUUUCAUGUCUACUACUGAUUGGGUAGACAUACAUAUACUUAAGCUUGAUGCAUAUCUCAUUAAAUUGUUUUUUGACAGAUUCUGUGCCUCUUCAUUUUAAGUGGAAAUGUCUGUAUUAUAUGAUUUCUUCCAUGAAAUCCACCAUUCUUACGACUUUACCUUUUUAUUGUGUGUGCCAUGUUUUUCUUCGUCAUGCUGCUGACUGUUUUUUCUCAUUUGAGUUACACAUGGAUUAUCUUAUGAAAGCAAGAUAGUUUAAGAUAUUGCAGAUAAUGGGGCACUCUUUAAAUGACCUAGAGGGAGUACAAUAGUGCUUCUGAUAAAUUAUGCUAUGAUAUUUACAAGAUGUUCAGUUGCAAGAACUACUGAGAUUUUGGUACAUGCUCAUGAUGCAGUUUCUUUGAUUUGACCAUUUACAUCAGUUCAUGUUUCACCAAGUCCAUCCCUUUUUAUUUAUGUGAUGCAAGCUCAUAAUAUAUACCAUUAUUUCUGUGCAUGCUAUGAUAUCUGAAGGACAGCUGCUUUCUUUUUAUGCAGGAAAUGAAUACUCUUUAUAGGUUUUGGUCAUACUUUUUAAGAAGCAUAUUUGUAGAAUCUAUGUACAAUGAAUUCCGAAAAUUGGCACUAGAAGAUGCUGCUGCAAAUUAUAAUUACGGAAUGGAGUGCCUGUUCAGGUUCUACAGGUAUGAUUUAUCAGCUACCUUUUCUGAUGGACAUCAAAUGACAUCUUCAGUCCAUGCUUUCUCUCUUGGCCUUAAACCCGACGUAUCUAGUUGAUUCAGCAUUGUAUAUGCUCCAUCUAAACUCCGGUGGACACUUCCCUUUGCUCUCUAUUUUUUUUUUUUUUUUUUUUCAAAUUUGCAGUUAUGGUUUGGAGAAGGAGUUUAGGGAGGACCUCUAUGCAGACUUUGAACAAUUGACGCUCGACUUCUACAAUAAAGGCAGUCUGUACGGUCUGGAAAAGUAUUGGUACGUCUUUUUGUGCUUUUGCUGUGUCUUUCUUUAAUCCGCAUCUCCUAUGCCCCCAAACCAAAAAAGUAAGAAAAAGGUAGAGUAAUGGGAUUAUCUACAAUUUUACAUGCUCCUGGAAUUGAAAAAGAAUGAGCAACUUUUGACUUGAAGAGCCUGCGUUGCUCUCGAAUCUUACAUUUAUGGAGCAUAUAACAUCUAGCAUGACAUAGCGAUUGAAUAAAAUUCUGCUUGUUAGUUUCAAGAGUUUUCAGUUUGUCUGCCAUGGUUAGGCAAUCUUACACUGGAUGUUGCAACACAGUUAAUAUUAUUCUGCUUUUUGUCUUCUGCAGGGCACUUCACCAUUACCGUGAGGAGCAUGGUGAGAGAUCUCCUUUAAAGAGGCACCCAGAUUUGGAUAGAUUGCUAAGGGAAGAAUAUCGUAGUUUGGACGACUUCAAGCAUACCAAAGGGAAGUUUCCAGCAGUAAAAGAGGAUGGCUAGUUGUCAGGCGUGACAGGUUGCAGCUUCAGUUGUCUGACAUCAUCAAUUUUGGAAAGCCAGUUGUAACAGUUUUGCAAGCAAGUUCGUGAUCCAUUUUGAAUGUGAUAGUGAUAUUGUACAUAGGAUCUGGAUAGGGUUGUCUAUACCUCUGAUGGCUGAAUGCAGUCUUGUUUAAGAUUGAAGAAGUCUGCUAC
rnacentral:lncRNA from 1 species